rnacentral:lncRNA from 1 species
CACACCAGAAGAGUUACAACCAGACCCUCUUAUUAUACCAUGUUUGUUACAAUGAGGGAAUUGAACAUCAUGAAUCGUCAUUCAAGCAAGGAAAUCAAAGGUUGACAGCUUAUUCUGUUUCUAUAUUUCCCCACUAGAAUCGUGCUUGAAGGUAUUCAACCACCCUCUUGUCCAACUGGAAGGCCCUUGCCAGGAAAUCAGGAUUGAUGGGUGGAUUUGAUCCAAACAUUGAACUGGCUAUGGUGACUAUACCUGGAUUUUGGCUGUUAAAAGCGGCAAUGGCUACUGCAUUAGUGUGCCCAAUGUUGACUUGGAAGUGAAUGAGACUGAAAGGGAACACAAAAACAUCCCCCUUGUUCAGGACUUUGCUAACGAAGCGGUGUUCAGGGUUGGAUGUGAUAAAGCCAACAAAGAGUGUUCCCUCCAAGACAACGAGGAUCUCACUGGCACGAGGGUGAAAGUGAGGAGGGUUUUGACCAUUAGGUUCAUAAUCGAUACGAGCCACUGACACCCCAAGAGCGUUUUCUCCUGGUAAUUGAUCAACAUUUAUAAGAUUGACAAUUGAGCCCACAUAAUUUGAUGUGUUUCCUGGAAUAUUCAGCCCUUGAUACAAGAAAUCCUCGGCCACGGUCAGGUUUGGGUUCUUGCAGAACUUCCCAUUUACAAAUACUGCAUGAAGAAGGAAAAAAGAAAAGAUAUAUCAUUAGUAUCGAACCAUACUCACCAUAUCAAUAAAAAGAGAAGUACUGAAAAUAGCUAUAAGAUCAUUGGUUACUAUAGAAAUACCAGCAUUCUUGGGCUCAUCAACGGCAACACAGGUGUCUUCCAGUGGGCUUGGAUCAUAGGCAGAGGCAAGAAAGGAAGCCAAUGCCAUGAAGGCCACGGUUACCAGGAAACUAACGCUUUUCUUCAUUGUUAGAGUACUGUCUCCAACAAUCACAAUAUUUAUCUUUAGGCGGGGAUAAGAAAUUUAGCAUGGAAAAGAUGUUAAUUUAUAGACCAGAGUCGGUGAGUUAGUCUUUGCAUAAACUCACCAAGUCUUCAAUGGGAAGUUUUUUCUUCUUUCUUUUUUCACUUUCGAGGACAAGCGGUUGCACCAAUACAUGUUGAUUUACGUAGGAUUAGUCAGUAUACAGAUCUUAACCAGAAUAUAAAGCAAUGUACAAUCAGGUGGAGGCAGGUCCAAUUUAAUAUCAAUCUGUAUGAUCCAUACGUUUACAUAUAUAGUAGAGCUUUCUGCUCUUUUAGUAGUGUAUGGACAAGCAAAUAGAAGAUUACAGAGUAGGUGCCAGCUUGGACUAUACAAUGACCCACCCCUAUCAAACAUGGUUACUCCAUGAGACUUGUGUAGGUUCAGUUUAAUGAGUAUUUAUAUAGCUUAAUUCACCAUUCGAAGUGUUGAGAGAUUGGCUGAUGAGAUUGAAUAUGUAGCCAAGUUCUGAGUUUCUAGCUCAUGUGCCUUCCACUGAGUGAAAAGUCCUUGGAUAAGCUCUGGGGUUGCCUCAGUUCAAUGAAAAAUUGGGAUAAAUUCAAAGACUUUCUGCUAUAUGCUCACUAGGCUUUCCUCAGUUACAAAAGCUUUGACUAUGAUUUUUAUGCUUGCAGCCUUCCCUGUCUGAGCGGUUGGCUCAAAAGUUACUACUACAAUUAUUAUGGUUUGUGAGAGAAAGAGAUCUUAACAAACACCUUUAAACUAAGACUUUUUAAUUAGUCGUCUUUAACAAGCAAGUCUGUAUUUUCUGGUGAGAAGCAAGAAACCUUACAUUAGCAAAAUACCAAUUAAUUAGAUGAAGUCCUUCGGCUAAUCUAUGCCCUAUAAGUAAGGUAAUUAAGCAGAUCGAUACACUUUCCAAAUCUUCAAUGGAUGUCAUUUUUCAAAUUGAAAGGUUGAACCAUUCUGAGAAUUUUCAAAUUGGACAGGCCAUCUGUAAUCAGAUUGUGAUUAGUGUCAUGACCCAUUAGAUCUUUAUAAGAAGUUGGGGUUAGAGGUUUGUUCACAGUGGAUGUCAUGAGAUUUCUGGGCUUUCAUUUCCAUUCUUUCCUCACUAUUUCAUGACACUGAUGCUUCUCCCACCAUUCAUAUGGUUUGACUCGGACAUCUUAAUUAGUUUUUUCGAUCUCAGUUGAUGGGGGCCGGUUAUACUGGGAUAAUCUAGAGAAGCAAAUUAAUGGCAUCUUUCCAUUAUUGGAUUAUAUGAGGUUGUUGGCCAUGGUUCAAAGUCAUGGUAUCGGACACCAACUCGGUAAGUCUUGAGGCACAUGGGUCUCAACGUCGCAGAUCAAUAUCGGGUGAUACACAAAAAAUUAUAGUUUAAAAGCCCAAAACAAUUUAAAAAGAUUACAAAAAUAAAUACAAAUAAAUGAAGUUAAAAAUUAAUAAAAUAAACUUUUAUUAUAUAUAAAAUUAUUCAAAUUAUGAUAAAAACAUACCUUCGUAAUGAUUUAUAAAAAUAUAAAAAAAUUAAUUUAAUCACUUAAUAUUAAAUAUGCAUUAUUAAAGAUGAAAAUAAUAAAAAGUGAAUUUAUUGUUUAUAAUUUUUUUUAAAUUAAAUAUUUUAAAUUUUUAAAAAAUAUUUUCAAUAUUUUAAAAAAUACAUCUAGGAAUCAUCUUUGAAAAAAGUAAACAUCAUUUUUCUUAUCAAAUAUAUACUAAAUGAAACAAUUAUAAAAAUGGAGAAUUUUUAUUUGAAUGAGCAUAUUUGAAUAUAAUAUAUUUUUUCUAUACAUCUAUUCAUUUUAAUUGACUUUUUAUAUUAAUAUUUAUUUUCUAUUUUAUUUAUGUAAACCUAAAUAUUCAUUAUUAAUUUACCAUUAUCCUAAACCCAUCAAAUUUUCAUUAUCCAUUUAAAUACAAUUAUUCACCACAUAUUCAUUAACUACUUAUUUGUAAUCCUAUCAAAUACCCAUAAACCAUUCACCUCGCAAACACGUAUUUCCUUUUUUUGCACAAUACCCAUUUCCCCUCUAAAACAACACUUUGAGCUCUCUACUUCUUUGCACAAUACCUAUAUUUGAAGGCUAAAAAAAUAACCCCAUGAAGAUACAAGAGGAUGGAGAUGCAAAUAGAAGGAUGAAGAUGCACAAGGUUUGAAGACUCUAAACUCUCCAUACUUCUUCACUUUCAUGAGUUUUGAUUAUCUUCUCUUAUCCACCAUUUCUGCUCCAAUAUUACUAUUUUUUUUCCAUCACCCAUCACCCAUCACCCAAAGAGAUUAGUUUGAAUAUAAUAUUAGGGUUAUCUCAAAGUUUCUUUGUGAUUUAACAAGUUUAUUCAUGAGUCAACCAAAUAUUGGACUCAGGAAUCAGUCCAAUACGGUUCAUGAGCUCUUUAUUUAUUUGUACAAUACCCAUUUUUGAAGGCUCACAACACAACCCUACAAAGAUACAAGAUGAUGAAGAUGCAAAUACAAGGAUGAAAUGCAAAGGGUUUGAAGACUCUGAACUAUUUAUAUUUUUUCACUUUCAUGGGUUUCGAUCUUCUUCUCUCAUCCACCAUUUUCGCUACAAUAUUACUAUUUUUUUCCAUUACCCAUCACUCGAAAAGCUUAGUUUGGACACAAUCUUUAGGUUAUCUCAAAGUUUCCAUGCGAUUCAACAAGUUUAUUUCAUUAGAUAACCAAAUAUUGGACUCAGAUAUCAAUUCGAUACCGGUCAUGGCCAAGACGGAUGUAACUCAGUCGAGUCAAACUAGUCUUGACUAAGAUUUUGAACCCCAUUUGAGCUCUCUAUUUCUUUGCAUGUACAAUGCCCAUUUUUGAAGGCUCACAAAAUAGCCCUAUGAAGAUACAAGAGAAUGGGGAUGAAAAGGGUUUGAAGACUCUGAACUCUUCAUACUUCUUCGCUUUCAUGGGUUUCGAUCUUUUUCUCUCAUCUACCAUUUCUACUCCAAUAUUACCAUUUUUUUUCCAUCAUCUACCACCUGAAGAGCUUAGUUUGGAGAUAAUCUUGGGGUUAGCUCAAAGUUUCUUUGUGAUUUAACAAGUUUAUUCAUGAGUCAACCAAAUGUUGGACUUAGGUAUUGGUUCGACACCAAUCAUGGCUAAGGCGGAUAUGACUGAGUUGAGUCGUACAAGUCUCGAUCAAGAUUAUGAGCCCUGUUUGAGCUCUCUAUUUCUCUACACAAUACCCAUUUUUGAAGACUCACAAAAUAGCCUUAUGAAGAUACAAGAUAAUGGAAAUGCAAAUAUAGGUGUAGGACCUCAGGCGCUACCAACUCUCCUAAAAGCAAUUGCUGUUAGGAAAGACGCAUACCCUAACCUUAUAGUGCAUUCACCCAAGCGCCCAUGGAGAACACAAGGGGAGUUUAUGGAUACGACCAACCUUCCGAUCUAUCAGCAAUCUCCCAUACCACUUGUAGGACCUCAGACGCUACUAACUCUCCUAAAAGCAAUUGCUGUUAGGAAAGACGCAUACCCUAACCUUAUAGUGCAUUCACCUAAGUUCCCACGACAAACAUAAGAAGAGUUGAUGGACGCGGCCAACCCUCUGAUCUGCCAACAAUAGGGAUGAAAAUCCAAAGGGUUUGAAGACUCUGAACUUUCCAUAUUUCUACACUUUCAUGGGUUUCGAUCUUCUUCUCUCAUCCACCAUUUUCACUCCAAUAUUACCAUUUUUUUUUCUAUCAACCAUCACCCAAAGAGCUUAGUUUGGACAUAUUCUUAAGGUUAUCUCAAAGUUUCUUUGUGAUUUAGCAAGUCUAUUCAUGAGUCAACUAAAUAUUAGACUUGAGUAUCGAUCUAGUACUGGUCAUGGCCAAGGCAAAUAUGACUCGGUCGUGUCAUACCAAUCUAGAUCAAGAUUUUGAACCUUAUUUGAGCUCUCUAUUUCUUUGUACAAUACCCAUUUUUAAAGGCUCACAAAAUAACCCUAUGAAGAUACAAGAGGAUAAAGAUGCAAAUAUAGGGAUGAAGAUGCAAAAGGUUUGAAGACUCUGAACUCUCCAUAUUUCUUUGCUUUCAUGAGUUUAACUCUUCUUCUCUCAUCAACCAUUUUUGCUCCAAUGUUACCAUUUUUUUCACCAACCAUCACCCGAAGAGCUUAGCUUGGACAUAAUCUUUAGGUUAUCUCAAAGUUUCUUUGUGAUUUAGCAAGUUUGUUCAUGAGUCAACCAAAUAUUGGAUUUAGGUAUCAGUCUGAUACCGAUCAUGGUUGAGGUAGAUAUGACUCGGCUGAGUCUUACCGAUUUCGACCAAGAUUUUGAACCCUGUUUGAGCUCUGUAUUUCUUUGCACAAUACUAAUUUUUGAAGGCUUAUAAAAUAACCUUACGAAGAUACAAGAUGAUGGAAAUACAAAUACAAGGAUGAAGAUGCAAAGGGUUUGAAGAGUUUGAACUCUCCAUACUUCUUGAUUCGUUCCCAAUUGGUGUCUCAGCUGAUUCAUGUCCAGCUGGUGCUCUUUGAUUGAGAGAGUAAUCAACAAAAUUUAUAACCUAUAUCACUAUGCAUUAGGAUAGCUUUAGCUAAUAUAGCAUAGUGGCUCUAGGAUCGUUCACUGGGAAGGGUUUUCAACUCACAACUGAUACCAAUUCAAAGUUAAAUUGGUACUUUUUCAUUUCAAGGUUAGCUUAAGAAAAAAACACAAACUUUGUUUAAAUGAGGUUUUGUUUAAAGGUAACUAAAAAGAAAGUAAUGGAAAUUACUUAUGAAGAAAAACAUUCCUUGGAGGUUUAGGUUCACAGGGGAGGUUUCUUAUGCAAAAACAGAGCUCCGGUCAUUUGGUUCAUUUCCUCGCAUUAGAGAAUUAACAUAUAGUCAAUUCUCUAACCGGUGCUGCACAGAUGUAUCCUUUAAAUGGAUUUCAACUCUAAUUCCCUCUCACUGAUGCAACUUGCAAUGGCUCGUGCCUCUCACCUAGCAUUUUCCAUUCAAUGUGAUCUUUAACUUUGGACUUCUCUUCUCAAGCUCGCAAGAGAUAACUAACGGAUGUCUCCUUGGAGUCCAAAAGCUUACCAAGUGUUGGCAAUUCUAGAAAAUCCUACCUCCAAGUCACUUCCCAAAAGCCCGCAAGAGAUAAACAAGUGCAUCUCCAUGGACGGAGAUCACGUGCCUUACCAAGUGUUGGCUUAAGUGAAUUGAAGGUAUUUUAAGUUAACUAAAAACAUAUAAAUCAUUAAAGGAUCACACUUUCUCUUCAUUAAUGACUGAAACCACAAAGCUACUAAUUCUUGCACUUGGAACCUUUCCCGGCAACCUUAACUCCAAGGAACUAAAAGUCUAGCCACUCAUUCUAUGAGGAAACUUCCUCAGAGCUUGUUUGGCUAGUAAGAAAACUAACGAGAAAACAAUUAUAUGAAGGAAAAACAGAGCAAGUGCUCUAUAAAAUAUAUUUCUUUUUUCUGCCGAUUACAUAAUAUAUCUUUGUAAAGAAAAUUACAAACUAUAUAUAUGAGGUUAUUCACCCUUUGUACUUACUUAAAGACUAAGGAAUCCUAUGAUAGGUGGGUUACAAGGAGACUUUGGGAGGUGGGUUACAAGGAGACUUUGGGGAUUUAGACAACAAAUAUUUAAAGCAAAAUAUCUCAGGAUGUCGGUCGGAAAUAUCAAGAAGCUUCAGGAGAACACCGUGGCACUGUAUACUGAGAGAAAAACUCUCCUGGUAAGCGCUAUCAGAGGAUCCGGAUAAGUUUGACCGGAGAAGUUGAAACGUCCUCCUCUCCCAUCCGGCUGCGAGAUAUCCAGAUGUAAAAUGUCGGCGCACAGAAUUCCGGAUGUGAAAUGUCGACGCACGGAAUUCCUCCCCUGGUGGACUAAGCUAUGUUGCGCAAGGGGGACCGUCUGCGUGUGCAAGGUGUAGGGACCCCUCUCCCGGAUGACACGGAAUGCGCAAGGCUAUCCGGAUCAACUCCAUCCGGAUUCCCCAAGAGGACAUGUGGCGUGCUCCCCUAUUCAGACUCCCUCAGGUUGAAGCACACAGCACUCGUGAUCAUCACACCCGGACGAUAGCAUAUCCUAUCCGGAUAUGUUGUCCGGAUCAUUGACUUCCGCCGUCAUCCGAUGGUGUGUCCGGACAUCUUUUACUCCUUGCAUUCCAGAUUUGCUUAUGGAAAAGAACCUCAAAGCUUUGGUUCUUCAUAUUUCUGAGCUUUCCAUUGCUUUGCCAUGGAUUCCAAAGAACUCUCCUCAAUCACGGAUUGCUUUGGUGAUAAAAAAGCUAUCAAAACACCAAAACUUAACACAAUUUGAUUAGAAUUGAUUGCAAGGGUCCUUAAUAUGUUAAUUGGGUUAAAAUGUGAUAACUACUACUCAAAAGUGUUUAAAAGAGUUUAUUACAAGCUAUCAAAUAGCACUUUUUGAGUAGUAAUCACUUCUUCACUACCAUGGGUUUCGAUCUUCUUCUCUCAUCCACCAUUUUCCCUCCAAUAUUACCAUUUUUUUUCCAUCACCCAUUACCCGAAGAGCUUAGUUUGGACAUAAUCUUAGGGUUAUCUCAAAGUUUCUUUGUGAUUUAACAAGUUUAUUCAUGAGUCAACUAAAUAUUGGACUUGGGUAUCGGUUCGAUAAUAGUCAUGGCCUAAGAUUUUGAACCCUUUUUUAGCUCUCUAUUUCUCUGCGCAAUACCCAUUUUUGAAGGCUCACAAAAUAACCCUACAAAGAUAUAAGAUGAUAGAGAUGCAAAUACAGGGAUGAAGAUGCAAAGCGUUUGAAGACUCUGAACUCUCCAUACUUCUUCACUUUCAUAGGUUUCGAUUUUCUUCUCUCAUCCGUCAUUUUAGCUCCAAUAUUACCAUUUUUUUGCAUGACCUAUCACUCGAAGAGCUUAUUUUGGACAUAAUCUUAGGGUUAUCUCAAUUUUUUAUUUUAUUUUUGUGAUUCAACUAGUUUAUUCAUGAGUUAACCAAAUAUUAAACUCGGGUAUUGGUCUAGUACCGGUCAUGGUUGAGGCGGAUAUUACUCGGCCGAGUCGUUUUGAUCUCAACUGAGAUUUUGAACCCCAUUUAAGUUCUUUAAUUCUUUUCACAAUACCCAUUUUUGAAGGCUCACAAAAUAACCCUACGAAGAUACAAUAUGAUGAAGAUGCAAAUAUAGGGACGGAGAUGCAAAUGGUUUAAAGACUUUGAGCCCUCCAUAUUUUUUCACUCUCAUGGGCUUCGAUUUUCUUCUCUCAUCCACCAUAUACGCUCCAAUAUUACCAUUUUUUCCAUUACGCAUCACCCGAAAAGCUUAGUUUGGACAUAAUCUUAGGGUUAUCUCCAAGUUUCUUUUUUAUUCAACAGGUUUAUUCAUGAGUCAACCAAAUAUUGGACUUGGGUAUUAGUUCGGUAUUGGUCAUGGCCGAGGUGGAUAUGACUUGGCCGAGUCGUACCGGUCUUAAUUGAGAUUUUGAACCCUAACUGAACUCUCCAUUUAUUUGCACAAUACCCAUUUUUUUAAGGCUAACAGAAUAAGCCUACGAAGAUACAAGAGGAUUGAGAUGCAAAUAUAGGAAUGAAGAUGAAAAGGGUUUGAAGACUCUUAACUCUUUAUACUUUUUCACUUUCAUGGGUUUCAAUCUUCUUCUCUCAUCCACCAUUUUUGCUCCAAUAUUACCAUUUUUUUCCAUUACCCAUCACCCAAAAAGCUUAGUUUGGACAUAAUCUUAGAGUUAUCUCAAAGUUUCUUUUUUAUUGAACAAGUUUAUUCAUGAGUUAACCAAAUAUUGGACUCGGGUAUCGAUCCAAUACCGAUCAUGGCUGAAGCGGAUAUGACUCGAUCAAGUCGUACGAGUCUCAAUCGAGAUUAUGAACCCUAUGUGAGCUCUUUAGUACUCUACACAAUACCCAUUUUUGAAGUCUCACAAAAUAGUCCUACAAAGAUGCAAGAGGAUAGAGAUGCAAAUAAAUGGAUGGAAAUCCAAAGGGUUUGAAGACUCUGAACUCUCCAUAUUUCUUCACUUUCAUGGGUUUCGAUAUUUUUCUCUUAUCCACCAUUUCCACUUCGAUAUUACUAUUUUUUUCCAUCACCCAUCACCCUAAGAGCUUAGUUUGGACAUAAUAUUAGGGUUAUCUCAAAUUUUCUUUGUGAUUCAACAAGUUUAUUCAUAACUCAACCAAAUAUUGAACUCGAGUAUCGGUCCGAUAUCGGUCAUGGUGGAGGUAGAUAUGAGAACAACCAAAUAUUCAAUUUUUUUUUAAAUUUAUAAUGUGCAUUUACUACAAAGCAAUCUUUAAAAUAAAAUAAAACUACCAUUGAUAAUUAGGUUACACUUGACAGCAAUUUUAGGAAGUGUUUUUAAUCUUUCUAAUACUUGAAAAAUAACAAUAGUGGUUUUAAGAAACGUUUCUAACUUUUUUAAUGGACAAUUGCAAAUUAGGAAAUAAAUAUGUAAAUGGGUACCAAUUUUUCUAAAAGCUUUUAAACUUUUUUCUAUUUUGGGUUAUAAUGUGUAUCAUGUUAUUAACAAUAUUUUUGCUUUUAUUUCAUGUCAAAUAAUAUAAUUUUUAACUUUAGAAGAGUCACAAACAAUAUUUGUGUUUACCCUAAAAUGCUUUUUCCUCGUAUGCAUUUCAGGGUGUAGGGAUUCUCAUGGAAAAUACUUCCCAUGGCUGGCAUGGGAGUUGAAGAAUUGUUGCAUGUGCAGCCAAAGGUAAAAGAGGGAUUCAUGUGUUACCUGAAUUGCAUUUUAUCUGAUUUACAAUUUGAUUAUAUGUAUGUUUGUGCAGUCUGGUGCUUGUGUUGCUCAUUUCUAUAUGUGCUAAAUGGAGGAUUUCUUUUUCAUCCAAAACCCUAGUAUUGCAGGAGAUAGUUGCUUUAUGGGUCAGUCUUCUUACCAAAUCUUAACUCUAUGCUGACUUCUUUUUCUUUGAUUUCCUACUCUUUGUUCUGCAUAUGUGUUUUCAACCUAACUAUUUUCAUAGGGAUCAAUGGAAAUUAUGAUUUUUCAAAGAAUAUUGAAAGUAGAAGAAAAUUAAGCAUUUGUGAAAUAUGGAGGAGCAAAAUGAUUUCUUAGUUUUAGCACAUCAGUUUACAGAAGAUAUUGUAAUUUCACAUGAUGAAAAUGAAGAGGGGAACCCAGAUUUCCAAUGGAGGGACUUUUUGGGCUUGGGGGACUAGAAAUGCAAGAUAUAAGUGCAAAUAUUGGAGUUACCCAACCAUAAAUCUGUCCGAAAAACUCGCUUUAAGGGGAGGAUGUUCCUCAUACACAAGAUGGAUUUAGCAUGGGGAUAAUUAGAUCCUAGAUGUUUGUAAGACUCAAUUCUAUCCAGUUUGCGUCCUUUUGGGGCUCCAUCAUGUGGGUUCUUUCCCCUUUUCGGUCAUCUUAAACUGGCUCUGAUGGUUGUUCGAUUGGUAACUCCGAAAGAUCAGAAUAGCUGUAUCUGCUAAGAUAAUGGAUGAAAUGAUAUGCUAACUUGGCAACUCGAAAAUAAUGGCCCGUGUCUUCCUCCUAUUAGGGUAUAUUGAAUUCUAAUUCAAGAAAAUUUUGCAGUAUUCAGGGUGGAAGCAGAUCACUUAAUCUUUUGUAGUAGGGAUUUAAGAGGUUUAGGCAGAUGCUUGAAGGUUUAUUCAUACUUAUUGUGAAGCAGAUCAUCUGGAAAACUGGGGAGUUAUCAUGCUGAAGACAUUUUUCUCCUUAUUGAAGUUUUCCAAACAAACCCUUCCAUCUAGGGUGAAUUAUUGGUUUCAUUUGGCUGAGUAGGAGAUUUCAGAUAGAAGCCAUCAAUCCUGGUCCUCAAGGGUGGAGUGGUAUGAUUACCAUCUAUGUAAAGACUUUGAAAUUUUUUUGUCAUUAACAAGCAUUUGUUGAUAAAUUUGCUUACCAUCUUCCACAAAUGAAAUUAUGGUUUUGAGUGUAUAAUUAUAACUGCUUAUGAUGAAAGGGAAAAACACCGACAAAGGACUCACUGGUUUUUUCUGCACAAAUGGGAGCAAUCUGUUAUUCUGGUUUCUUAUUACACACAAGCAAAACGAUCAUUUAUAGUUGUAAAUAGAGAGCUCUUCUUCUUACCUAGACUGAAAGUGACGGAGGUUUACUAUUUUAAGUUCAGUGACAUGUCCACAUUUUCUUCCUUUGCCUUACGAAGUGUUUCAAAUCCCAUUUCUUUCCAGACAUUCUUUAGCCUUUGAGCAACCGAAGAGAUAAGGGGACGCUUUUGGGGGUUCUCUUCUGUGCACAUCAUCCCUGCAUCGAGCAUGUGGAUACAGCAUUGCUCAAGCUUAUGUAAAGCACCACUCCCCUCUUCCAAAUAUGCUUCGUGCUUCAGUGAGAUGUCUACAAUAUCCAAAACUUGAUUUGGAAAAGCAGAACACACCCAUUUCCUUAGAUCAAGUCCAUCUGAAAACAUUUCAUUCGUUGGUCUCUUCCGUGUUAUCAUCUCUAACAUCAUCACUCCAAAACUGUAUACAUCUCCUCUUGUUGAGACAUCGAUCCCCUGCCCAUAUUCUGUGUACAAGCAAUAGGAACUAUUAGCUGAAUCACUGUACUUUUAUUUAUAUCCCUUCAAAUUAGGAUAGUCUGUUUAAAGAAAGAGACAUGGAUAGAUGCAGUUGGUUCAUAUUAACUAUCUGAAUAUCACAAGAAUGCAAGCAUCCUUCUUUUUCAUUUAGAUGUAAAUGCUUCUCAUUGGAAAAGCGAUUAGGAAACUAUCUGAAUAUCACUGUACUUAAAGAAAAGCGGGAGAAUAACCAACAAGACAUACCAUGUUGUUAAACAAAUUUAUCAUAAUGGUAUAUGAGGAAACACACAAAACCCUAUUUUUUCUUCUCGACUUCUAUCCUAUUAUUAACAGUUAGUUCUCUAGAAUAUAUGACCAUUGGGUAGGCAGUCAAAUGAAUGAAAACUAGACUAGUUUGAAGUUCAUGUGAGAUGAAAGAUUGGCAUUCAUGAUUAAAAGUAAUUAUCUAGUCUGAUAACUUAUCAUUUACUUCUCAGAUUUGAAGGUAGGUCGCUAACUUUUCCAAGAAGAUUCAAAGGGAUUAUGAAGCAUAGGAUUGAAGAUUUAUAUAAGGUAAUCAAAUGCAUACCUGGGGGGAUAUACCCGACAGAUCCUCGUAGAAAAGCAGUUGUGGUAGUAACAUGUCCUCUUGGUUUGUCACCUGAAAUGAGCUUUCCAAUACCAGAAUCUCCUACAUGAGCCACCAUAUCAUUGUCCAAAAGAACAUUUUGUGGUUUCAGGUCACAGUGUACAACUUGAACAGGACAACCCUCAUGAAGAUACUCCAAGCCAUUUGCAACAUCUAUUGCUAUUCCCAUUCUUUCCCUCAAUUUUAAUUCACUACCUCCUUCAUCUGACCCACCAGGGUAAAGAUGCUGUUCCAAGUUCCCAUUGCCUAUAUACUCGAGAACAAUAGCCUUGAAUCCUGAAUUCCAGGUCGAUCCUAUCAUUCUAACCAGAUUCCUAUGUCUAAUUUCAGACAGUAUUUGACACUCCCUUUUAAAACUUCUGUAACCCUGAACACGCUCUUCUUGCAGAACCUUAACUGCCACAACAGUUUUUCCAUCAUUGAUGAUAGCUUUAUACACCCUACCAAAACUUCCUUCCCCUAAUAGAUUAGCCUCAUCAAAACCGCCAGUAGCAAUUUCGAUUUCCCUUUCAGUUAAAGUUUGGGUUCCAUGAUGGGUUGGGGAAUACAUUAGAAUUGCAGUCUCCGCACCUGCACUCCUAUUUUUGAAGAAGAAACGACGAACAGUGAGGGCGAUCAGCACAAAGAGAAGCAGAGAACAAGUUAAUAUUGCAAACAGGUAAUAAAUCCAUUUCCUUUUCUUGUGCUUUUGUUUCAGAAUUUCACAUGGAUGGAGACCCAUAAGUUUGGUGCCACCACAGAGCCCCAUAUUCCCCAUGAAUGAGCUGCUUCCUAGAUUUUUAUACCUCCCACUAUUUGGAACCUCUCCUGUUAAUCUGUUAUACGAUAAAUUGAGAUUCUUGAUCUUCUGGCUGUCACCAAUCCAGAUUGGAACAUUUCCUGUUAAAUUAUUGAAAGCCAAGUCCAGAUAUCCUAGAUCAAUGAUUUGCUUCAGGGACUCUGGGAUUGUACCUUCAAGCAUGUUGUGAGAGAGGUUCAGAUACUCCAUUGAAAUGCAUCUUCCAAUCGAACUUGGUAUCACUCCGAAGAAUUUAUUCGCUGACAAGUCAAUUGCCAGCACAGAUGCCAGAUUUCCAAUACUAGCAGGUAGUUCUCCUUCAAGAUUGUUGUUCGAAAGGUUGAGUGAAAGAGCCAGGUUUGAGAAAUGACCAAUUUCUGUGGGAAGAGACCCUUGUAAGUUGUUAAAAGACAAAUCAAGAAGCAUUAGAAGAGAACAUUGGGUGAGUUCGAUGGGAAUUUUCCCUGUGAGGUGGUUGUGAGACAAGUAAAGAUAUCUCAACUGUGACAGAUUACCAAGAGAAGAUGGGAUUGUCCCACUAAUCAAAUUAUCACUAAGUUCCAGUAAACCAAGGUUAGCCAUCUGCCCAAGUUCAUCUGGAAUUGGCCCAAGAAGUUUGUUUCUUCCCAAGUGUAAUCUCUGCAACUGCCUAAGCUUCCCAAUUGUUGCAGGAACUCCAUUCAAAAAAUUAUACCACAGGUCUAGAGUCACAAGGCCGCUUAGAUUUCCAAUUUCAGCUGGUAGGUCUCCUGUUAAUUUGUUGUUUCGAAGAUUCAAGUAGUAGAGAUCUUUGGAAAGACUGCCAAUUGAAGCCGGUAAACUUCCUGCAAACAGACAUGCCCCUAAGUGCAGUUUCUGUAGACGUGAACAAUUAGUGAGAGGAGUUAGAAAACUGAGGGAAGAGUUGUUGGAACCGCUCACCAGGUUAUUGCUAUGAAGGUAAAGUCUCUCAAGUUUCUUCAACUUCCCCAACUCAGGAGGGACUUCCCCCUCUAACUGGUUGAGGCUAAGAUCAAGCAGUGUCAGCUGAGAAAGAUUGGACAGGGUCACUGGAAUUUUCCCAGAAAGUUGGUUUUCUUGGAAGUACAAUCUCUGCAAGUUAUGGAGCUUUGACCCCAAUUCGAAAGGGAUUGUUCCCGUUAACCGAUUCUCAAUCAGUGUAAUGUGACGCAGGGCAGUGCAAUUACUGAUGGAUGCAGGUAUGCUUCCUUCCAAAAAGUUGAUGUGGAGGUACAAUAUCUCCAGCUUUGUUAAUGCUCCUAGCUCCUCUGGAAUCCUUCCUGUGAAGUAAUUAACUUGCAAUUCUAAAUCUGUCAGCUUUGUCAGAUUCGAAAGAAACGAUGGUAUAGCUCCAGUGAGGCUGUUCUCAGAGAGACAAAGGUAUGUCAAGUUUGUCAUUUGGCCUAGUACAGCAGGAAUGCUUCCAGUCAGAUUGUUAUAGUCCAAGUCUAUUGUCUCCAGGCUCCAGCAGCCUUGUAUUGAGGCUGGAAUAUUGCCCCCAAGCUUAUUACCACUCAUGUUUAUGAAUGUUAACUCAGAAAGCUCUCCAAUGGUAGCUGGGAUCUCUCCAUACAAGCUGUUGGCUUGCAAAGAGAGGGUGGUGAGAUGGGAUAGAUUGGAUAUGUAUGGUGAGAUAACUCCCUGUAAGCGCAUGUUUAUGAGCUCAAUGGCUAUGACCCGGUUCUUAAGUUGCUGGUGGCAUGUAAUCCCUGUCCAGUUGCAGAAGAACCUGGUUUCAUUCCAAUCUUGGAGAUGACCAUCUGGAUCACCUGUUAUGCCUUGUUUGAAUUUGAGCAGAGAUUGACAAUCAGUGGAGUUUUUGCAGAGGAAUGUGGAAGUUGAUAGUAGAGCAAGACAACUAAGAGAGAAAAACACUGCCACAGCAACGGGAUUGUUCUGAUUGUAUGCCAUUCUCUCUCUCUCUCUCUCUCAGUGUGUGUGUACAGCUUUUGGAAUUCGAUGUUAGAUUUCAGGCCAAAAGUUUUUUUUCUCACUUGUUAGGUAAGAUGGGAUGAACAAUCAAUUUUCUUAAAAGUUUAAACUUAACGUGUAUCAUACUUUUCAACACUCGACGGGAUCAAUGGUAGAAGUUUAAAUAGAUGGGCUCAGUUGCUCAAAUGGUUCAGACAACUUGGCCUAGUGAGGGGCAGGUGGUGAGCCCUCAUUUAUCACUGGGACCAUAGAGCAAGACUUUUUGGUAUUGCCAUCACCUGUCUUAACUUCAUUCAACCUCUUCAAUGCUGUUUGACAUUUUCUUCCGUGACAGAAUUAAUAGCUAUGCAGUUUCCCAAAAUUUGCUCCGAACCCAUUGUCAUUUUUUUUUCUUCAUAUUUUAUAUUUUGUAUUUAUUUAUUUUUAUAUUAUUAUCAUUUAUUAUUUAUUUUAUUUUUCUUUCUUUUUCUUUUAUUUAUUUUAUUUUCUUCUUCCUUUCUUCCUCCAUGCAUGCACUACCAUUGUCACUUUUUUCUCUUUCUAAGGAUUUGCAAUUGACUCUAUUGAUAUUUUGUUGGUUGAGCAUGGAUUUAUGACUUAUAACACACACAUGGAAGGUUGAAUUUCAUGAAAGAAAAUGAGGGUUAGAAAAAUAAUAAAUGGGAAACAUUGAGCUUAUUGUGGGUUUGAUUUGGUACAAAUUCUUUUGUAUAUAUCUACUUGGGUAUACAAUUGAAUAUUUAAUUUAGGAAAAUUCAAAAAAUUGUUUUCAAUGAAAUUAAAAAAAAAAAUUAAUAACAAUUGCCUGGAAAUUUAUUUAUUUAAUAAACAUUGUUUUGUCAAUAAAAUUGUCAUCAAAGUUAAUUUUUAAUAAAAUUAUCUAAAAAAGUGAAUUUAUAAAUGAAAUUCUAUUUCCUUAAUUUAAAUGGGAUAAAAAGUAAUUUUUGUAAAUUAAAGUCUUAAAUAAUUUUUUCAUAAUAAUAGAACGAGAAUCUUUUUAGCAAAUUGAACUUAUACAAAUUAUUUUCUUUUCGUAAAUAAAGUUUGUAAAGAAAUUAUUUUCUUUAUAAAUAAAAUCAAAAUGAAAUAUUUUUACAACUAAAAGAAUAUUUAAUUGAGCAAGUGAUGAACUAUUUGCUUGUUUAAGUAACCUUUUGAAAUGUUCCCUCAGCAUAAUGGUAGUACAAUAAGAGGGUUUAUUAUGUACUUCUUUCUAUAUGGACUUUGGGUAUAAUAAAAACAAUGCUUUCUCUCUCUCUCUCUCUCUCUCUCUCUCUCUCUCUCUCUCUCCCCCUAGUCCACAGGUUUACACCCUCAGCUUUACCCUGGACUAAGUCCUGAAACCCAAAGAUUAUGCAGAAUCAAACUCUUAAAGUCUACAGCAUGAGUUGAAGAAAAAAGGAUGAGUAUUUAAUGUAGUAGUUGAGGAAUGAUUCAAUGUUUGAAAUAUAAAAAAUGCAAUCCAUUGAACACUUAGCUGGACUAUCUGCUUAUUGUAUACAUAAAACAUAGACUAAUCCGAAGACUUCUAUGUUAUAACUUUAGAAUUUUCAUAUCCAAGGUUUUCACUUCUUUCUCAUCAGAAGACAAAGAUUGUAACUGUUGCAGAAAACCUAACAACCUAGUUUAUUUGUUAAGGUCCCUUUCUCUCAUAAGACAUAAAUAUAUUCACUAUCAAACACCAUAAUGAUAAUAAUAAUGAUCUUCUUUUUGCUGUAUAUACACUACUUUAGAGUUUGUUCAAUGUUUGGUUACCAAGAAAACAGAAGGACUGAUCUGCUGCAUUAAAAGGUUAAGUAAUCCUGAAUACUUUCACUUCAUUUUGCCAUAUGUAGUUCUUCCAUUAGCUAGCCAUUUGGAACUAAAUCUUGUGGAGAACUUUUCAUAUUGGAGAUGGAUAUGAAAUUGGAUCUGCCUCCACCUCAUUGAACUUCACUUUCAACAUAUGCAUUGAGAAUAUUUAAGUUAAGAUCAGUAUACUAACUAACCCUACAUAAAUUAACAUGUAUUGGUGAAAACACUUAUCCUUGUAAGUGAGAAAGCAAAAAAAAAAAAAGAAAAAAAAAAAAGACCUACCCAUUGAAGACCAUCUAUAAAUUGACAUGUUUCUCAUGCAAAAAUUUUCACCCCUCACCUAAACACAAAGAUUUGUGAUUGUUUGGAGACAGUACUCUAACAAUGGAGAAAGGUGUUAGUUUCCUAGUAACUGUGGCCCUCAUGGCAUUGGCUUCAUCUUUUGCCUCUGCCUCUGAUCCAAGCCCACUGCAGGACACUUGCGUUGCCAUUGGGGAACCCAAGAAUGCUUGUAUUUCUUUAGUAACCAAUGAACUUGUCACUAUUUUCACUGAUCUUUCCAAUUCAAUAUUGGGCACAUUAAUGCAGUAGCCAUUGCUGGUCUAAGCAGCCAAAAUCCAGGUGUAAUCACCAUAUCCAAUGCAGUGUUUGGAUCAAAUCCACCAAUCAAUCCUGAUUUCCUGGCAACGGCCUUCCAGUUGGACAAGAAGGUGGUUGAAUUCCUUCAAGCACGAUUCUAGUGGGGAAAUAGAGAAAAUGAAGAAGCUAUGAACCUUUGAUUUGCUUGCUUGAAUGACUAUUUGUGAUGUUCAAUUACCUCAUUACAAUAAGAGGGGUUUAUUACUUUAUUUUGUAGCUCUUUUGGUGUGGACUUUGGUCCUAAUAUUAAAAUAAAGCAGUUUGUCUGUUAUGCAUCUUCUUCUGUCUCCAUCUCAAUAUUUGUCUUAAAAAAUCUUAUCUUGUGAAAAAACAACUCUCAGUUGAUUGAUUAACCUGCAUGUGCAGAAUGUUUAUUAAGAAUGAAUACUUAACUAGUUGUAAAACAGUACUACUGCUACUUCCAGCAUACUGCUGGCAGAAUUGGUGAUGAAGGAAUGAACAUUGAGGCAACAACUGCUGAGAAUUCAAAAAUAAAAAAGAUGCCAUUUUGCUUCUCUAUAUUUUCCCAUUAUAACUCAUCAACCGAGAUCGAAGAAACUAAUUAAGAUGUCCAAGUAAACCAUUUGAAUGGUGGGAGAAGCAUAAGUGUCAUGAAAAUUGUGAAGAAAGAAUGGAAAUGAAAACCCAGAAAUCUUAUGACAUCUACUGUAGACAAAUUAAUGUCUUAAAUAAUCUUUUCAUAAUAAUAGAACGAGAAUCUUUUUAGCAAAUUGAACUUAUACAAAUCAUUUUCUUUUCAUAAAUAAAGUUUAUAAAGAAAUUAUUUCCUUUAUAAAUAAAAUCAAAUUGAAAUAUUUUUGUAAAUAAAGUUCUAAAAAUUCAUUCUUUUUCUAGUAAAAGUAAGUCAAAAUAAUUUUUAUUGUCAAAUUGGAAUUUUUUGAAUAAAUUCUAUCCAAAUAAAAUUCAAUCAAAUCAUUUAUUGGAAAUAAAUAAAUAAAUUAAAAUCUUGAAAAAGUAAUAUUUAAAAUAUCUUUUUGUAAUCAAUUUAAUAAAUCGGGGUGUAUAAUUCUAAUGUCAUUUAUUUUGUACAUUUUUGUAAUUUAAUUUUAUAAUUAUUUUCUUGUAUAUUAAUUUGUGUCUUUAAUCUUGAUAUUCAUGAUUGAUCAAUUAACUGUCAUAAUUCAUUUUGUUUGUUUAGUAAAGAUUGUUAGUAUACAUGCUUAGAGGGGUAUUACCACUUAUUAUUGUACCUUUCUGAUAGACAACUUGACCCUUGAAUAUAGACUUGAUUUUACAGACAUGUCUUUUCUAAAUGAGGAUUUAUACAAAAUUUUCUUUCUUAUUUUAUUUUCUCUUUUAAAAAAUAAAUUAAAAUAAGUGGCAAUCCUAAUUUUUUUAUAUAAAAAAAAAAAAUCAAAAUUUCACAAUAAAAAUGAGUCUCACUGUCGAGUGGGAACACACGCAAAAAAUACGGGUCAACAUGUAUCCAAUUGAUUGGGGUCAAUGUCAAGAUGUAUGAUAAAGAUGCAAAAUUUGAAUAUGAAUCCUACCAUUGAUUGAAUCUUGAACUACCUGAUACUGGUUGUAACAAGUGAGAUAAGUUGCUAAGGUUUGCAUUGAAAUCCUCAAUUGAAAGUUACUAGUCAUCCAAAUAUGUAUAUAAAUCAAAGUGCACACAAUUGAUUUUCUUUCUCUUCUAAAUCCAAGAAAUCAACCUCCUUAAGCAAAAGACCUUAGAAUUCUUAGAGUGUGUUUGAUAGUGAUUUUAGGAAGUGUUUUUAACUUUUUUAAUAAUUGAAAAAUAAGAAUUUUGAAGUGUUAAAAAUGUUAGAAACGCUUCCUAAAAUCACUAUCAAACGCACUUUUAAUGUAAUUUGCUCUAUGUACCACUUGAUGUGGAUGUUAAGAUUGAUAUCCUUGGUCAUUGCCUAUAAUCCUAUAUCUAUAAUAGCAAGAAGACAUACAUUGAAACAUGAAUACCCUUUCACUAUGUUUGGUUUAUGGAAAAUACUAAGAAAAGAAAAUGUUCUGAAAAAUGUUUUUCUUAUAUUUAGUUUUAUUAUGAAAAAUAAGAAAAAAAUAAAAUAUAAUUAUAAUUAAUUAAAAUUUUAUGUAUUUUAAAAUUAUUUAAUAUUUAUAUAAUGAAGGAAAAUAAAUGAAACAAGCUUGAAAAAGUAUAUAAAAAUAAUUUAUUAAUUAUAACUUGUAUGCGACUAUUUUGUACUUUAAUCCCGUUUUUCUUUUAUUCUCUUGUAGGUACCUUGAUUUUAUAUAUUUGUAUCUUUAUUCGAUGAUUUAGAUUUCAUAUAUUUGUAUCUUUAAUUGAGAUUGCAAGAUCCGUACGGAUUCAGAUUAGGGAUGACAACGGUAUGGGCUUGAGGCAAGUUACUCAUAUCCCAAUCCAUUAUAUUUAUUCGUAUAUGUUAUCAUCCCCACCAAAAAAAGAAAUUAAAUGGGAAUAGGAAAUUCUCAUGCCUACCCCAUGCUAUCCCAUUAUUUAUUUAUUUAUUUUUCAAUUUUUAUUUCUAAAAUUUUAAGAAAAUUAAUAUUUUAAAUAUGUUAAAAAAAUUGAAAACUGAAAAAAGAAAUCAAUUAAAGAACUUUUUAUUUAACAUUAUACAUAAUUAGGCUGAGGUAGGAUGAAACAAACUCAUACCCAAAAUCACCCUGAAUCAAUCUUGGGUUUUUAAAAAUUUCUCAAAUUCAAGAUGAGACAAAAUCAUAUCCAAAACUAUCUCGAAUCCAUCCUAGAUUUUAAAAAUUUUCUCUAAUUUAUCUAAACUUUAUAUCAUUAUCUCAAAACGAGUACAUUAAGGGUAUGACAAGUACUAAAAAAAAAUUGGUAUAUUGUCAUCCCUAAUCAAGAUCCUAAAAUUUUUCUUUAUGAUAAUGAAAACAACAAUCAUAGUCGUCAUCUCUCUAUCAGUGUACUUUUUAGGUUUGAUCGAAUACACCUUAUGUGUUGCCUUUGGGGCAACCUAGCUCUCUCAAUCAUUGUCUAAAGUUCGGGUGUUUGUUUGUUUUAAUUUUUUUCGACUUUUUUUAAUACUAAAAGUAACUUAAUGACUUUUUUUUAACUUUUUAGUACUUAAUAAAAAUAAAAUAUUAAAAAACCAAAAACUGUGAUGUUUAAUACUUUUAAACACUAUAUAAUUUUAAGUUUUAUUCAAAAUUAAGUAAAAAAGAAAAAAAAAACACUCCUUUGAUGGUCAUCUAAAACUUUUAGGUCAAAGCUUGAUUUGGAGCUCAUUUAAACCUAACCCAAACUUCAACUAAAAAGACCUAUGUCCAACACAAUUAUUAGAGGUGUCCAAUGGGUCAUGUCGGGCCAACACAACCCAUGUUUAUCAGGCCAAUGCGUUGGCUCGACCCAUGCAAGCCAAAUAGGUGGCUUGACAUGGCCCAUAAACCCAUGGGCUAAUCAUGUCGUGUUGUGCCAUGUCGGUGAGUCGCCCCAUGGGCCACACACUUUAAUUAUUAUUUUUUAAUUUAUUUUGUCUUAAGUUUUUUAUUAUUAAAUAAAAUUUCUUUUUGUUACUUUAAACACCUCUAAUAAUUAUACUUUUUAUUUUUUAUAUUUAUAUUUAUCAAGUUUAUAACUGUAAAAUUUAUAAAAAUGUUAGUUUUUUGUUUUUAAAAAUAAUAAAAAGUGAUAUUUAAAGGGUUAAGUGGGCCAACAUGAUGGCACGACGGGUUGUUUCCUUAGGCCCACCACGACCCGCUCCUUUGGGCCAUGCCGGCCUGACUCGAUCUUUUGGCGCACUAGGCCACAGGCCAAAAUGGGUGGCUCGACCCAUUGGACACCUCUAGUAGUUACAUGUCUAGCAUCCAAACGGUAGACCAGGUGAGUUUUGUCAAACCCAACCCAUUCAUCCCCUUUGCUUCAUGUUGGCCACCCGGUUCAGACCAACCAUUGGGUUGAUUUGGGGUCUUGGUUAUUUUUGUUUAAAUAAAUUGCAAAGAAAAAAAAAACUUGGUUUGGAUAAAUAAACUUAAGUUGUUUUUAAAAUAAGCUUUUAUUUGAUUUUUUCUAAAAAAAUUUAUAAAUUCAAUUUGUACAAUAUUAAUUAUAUUUAAUUGAAGUCUUAUUAAAGAUUUAAAAAAAAAUAGUUUUUAAAUUAAAGAUAAAUUAAAAAAAAUCAUAAAAUAUGAAAUUAAUAUUAUAAUAAAAUCAUAAAUUAUGAUUUUUAUUUAAAAUGAUACUAUUUUAAGAUAUGAUUGAUUUAUUUAUUUUGAUAAGAAUGAAUAAUACUAAUUUUAAAAUAAUAAAAGGGUGAUAUAGUUUAUUUGAAAUAAAUUUAAAAAUAAAUAAAAUUUAUUUUUUUAAUACGUAAAUAAGCGAAGUUUUUCAUUAUAUCUACACCUGAGAAUUUAAUCAAGGAUAUAGUAUUUUGAACUAGUUUUGAUUCAUUCCUAUAAUCUUCAUUCAGUCAUUAUGGUUUAGACAAUUGAUAAUUAAUCUGUUGGCAUAAUUGAUUCUGCAAAACAGUAUCCUGAAUUUAGUAUCGAGGGAGGCAGAAACACAGCGAGAGAGAGAGAGAGAGAGAGAGAGAGAGAGAGAGAGAGAGAGAGAUGAUGCUUAACAAUUAACAGACUGCAGACUGCUUUAUUGUAGUAAUAUGCCCAAAGUCCACACCAGAAGAGUUACAACCAGACCCUCUUAUUAUACCAUGUUUGUUACAAUGAGGGAAUUGAACAUCAUGAAUCGUCAUUCAAGCAAGGAAAUCAAAGGUUGACAGCUUAUUCUUUUUCUAUAUUUCCCCACUAGAAUCGUGCUUGAAGGUAUUCAACCACCCUCUUGUCCAACUGGAAGGCCCUUGCCAGGAAAUCAGGAUUGAUGGGUGGAUUUGAUCCAAACAUUGAACUGGCUAUGGUGAUUACACCUGGAUUUUGGCUGUUAAAAGCGGCAAUGGCUACUGCAUUAGUGUGCCCAAUGUUGACUUGGAAGUGAAUGAGACUGAAAGGGAACACAAAAACAUCCCCCUUGUUCAGGACUUUGCUAAUGAAGCGGUGUUCAGGGUUGGAUGUGAUAAAGCCAACAAAGAGUGUUCCCUCCAAGACAAUGAAGACCUCACUGGCACGAGGGUGAAAGUGAGGAGGGUUUUGACCAUUAGGUUCAUAAUCGAUACGAGCCACUGACACCCCAAGAGUGUUUUCUCCUGGUAAUUGAUCAACAUUUAUAAGAUUGACAAUUGAGCCCACAUAAUUUGAUGUGUUUCCUGGAAUAUUCAGCCCUUGAUACAAGAAAUCCUCGGCCACGGUCAGGUUUGGGUUCUUGCAGAACUUCCCAUUUACAAAUACUGCAUGAAGAAGGAAAAAAGAAAAGAUAUAUCAUUAGUAUCAAACCAUACUCACCAUAUCAAUAAAAAGAGAAGUACUGAAAAUAGCUAUAAGAUCAUUGGUUACUAUAGAAAUACCAGCAUUAUUGGGCUCAUCAACGGCAACACAGGUGUCUUCCAGUGGGCUUGGAUCAUAGGCAGAGGCAAGAAAGGAAGCCAAUGCCAUGAAGGCCACGGUUACCAGGAAACUAACGCCUCUCUUCAUUGUUAGAGUACUGCCUCCAACAAUCACAAUCUUUAUCUUUAGGCGGGGAUAAGAAAUUUAGCAUGGAAAAGAUGUUAAUUUAUAGACCAGAGUCGAUGAGUUAGUCUUUGCAUAAACUCACCAAGUCUUCAAUGGGAAGUUUUUUCUUCUUUCUUUUUUCACUUUCGAGGACAAGCGGUUGCACCAAUACAUGUUGAUUUACGUAGGAUUAGUCAGUAAACAGAUCUUAACCAGAAUAUAAAGCAAUGUACAAUCAGGUGGAGGCAGGUCCAAUUUAAUAUCAAUCUGCAUGAUCCAAACGUUUACAUUGUUUCAACAUUUUUGUAUUAUGGUUUUUAUGAACUGUGUUUUUUUGAGUUGUAAGGAAGAAAAACUUAGGUUUAAAGUUCUAGCAUAGAAGAAAAAACCUGUAGAUUAAUUGAUUUUUUAAUCUGAACCAAACACAUGAUCAACUCCAUAAAAACAAGUGGAAAACAAGAAAAAAUGAAUGAUUUUUAAUAUGUAUUUGUGUGAGAAUGAUAGGUAUAGAUUUUUUUUUGAGAUAUACUGCCACAUAAUCUUCAUCCCUUCUAAAAAACGAGAGAGAAAAAAAAAAGAAUGAUUUUUCUGUUUGUAUCUAAGUGAGAAUGAGAUAUAGAAUUUCACUCCAGACGCAUUAAUUUUAUCUCAUACUGCCAUGCUAGACCAAAUCAGCCCUUAACGACAACCACACUGUUUUGUGGGGGGGGGGUUACUUUUGUUCCAUUAUAUUCACAGAAUCUUCAAAUCCAUUCUUUGGAUUAAUCUGCAUGAGGAAAUCUGUUACUGUUAGUGACGGAAACCUGUUAUUGUUAGUACCGGAGUCAACUGUUUGACUGGGUGGGUUCCAAUCAGAUCCUAAGGAAUGGGUCCAAAGGUCAUCCAUUAGAGUUAAUGGAAUUCAUUGUUGUUCUUGUGCCUUGAUGUGUGAGCCCAACACGCACAGAUGCAACUAGGGAUGGCAACGGGGCGGGUUUUUUCGGGUACCCGCCCUGCCCCGCCCCUAAUGGGAUGGGGUUGAAAUUUAAUAAAUGGGUUUUUAACGGGUAUAAGAUUUUUUUUUUUAAACCCGGGGCGGGUUCGGGUAUUGCCCCAUCCCGCCCCGCCCCGCCCCGCCCCGCCCCGCCCCGCCCCGUUUACAUAUAAAAUCAAUUUUAAAAUUUAAUUUAAUUUAAUUUAAAUUUUAAAAUUAAUUUUAUUUUACUAUUUUUAAUAUAUAGAUAAUAAAAAAAAAUUAAUAAAAUAAAUUAUAAAAAAUAUAAUAAUUUUAUUAUUUAUAAAUAUAUUUAUUUUAAUGUAAUUAAAAAUUUUAAAAGCAAUUUUUUUUUUUUUUAAAAAGGAGGCUAAACAGGGCUGGGCGGGGCGGGUUUGGGAAUUUCCCAUACCUGCCCCGCCCCGCCCCGCCCUGCCCCGUUUAAUUUUUUAAACGGGACGGGGAUGGGAAUUAUUUUUAAUAAACGGGGCGGGGUUGGGAUGGGGGCGACCCGUCCCGAACCUGCCCCGUUGCCAUUCCUAGAUGCAACAGUAUGAGUCAUGUGCAGGUAGAUUUGAAUAGACACAUCUUGGCAUCGGGAUGGCUUGAGCAAGGUGUAGUCUCCUACAAUAGGAAGCAUGGUGAACUGAUGCAUCACAUGAGCAAGACUCCUAUUGCAUGAGACAUACUCCUAUCACAUGAGACUUCUAGUCAAAGUGGGAGAUUGAGACCUAAUAUUGCAGGAAGAGAAAGGGACUCUUGACAUGAGAAGACUCCUAAUCGGGAUAGAAAACUAAAUCUUCAUGCAUAAGGAGAUAGAGAGAUGUGGCAUGAGAGUUUUAGAUUCAGUAGGACUUGGAGUCCUACUCAAAUUUGUCAUCUGUUAAGCUUGAGUCGGACGCAAACUAGGACUCAAAAGUUAGUCUCCUAGUAGGAUUAGGAUGGCUUGGUGCAACCUUCAUAAAAGGAGGGCGUGACCCAAUAGGAUGCUCCAAAAAUGGUACCUUACGUGAUAGGAAGGCCCCUUCAAAAGUCAUAUUGCUUGUACCACCAAGACACCACCACUAAGUAUUUGUCCAUAUCUUAAUCCAUGUGUGCAUGGAGAUGAACAUAAAUAUAUAUAGAAAAGAUAAAUAUUAGAAGACAAGUCUCCACAAAGAGACAAAAAUAUAGAAGGCUUCGGUCAACCAAUCCCGCUAUGCGUGGCAAAUGUUUCAGGGGACUGCGUAGGAUUGAACAGCCUUUGCUAGAGGGAAGAUCAAUCUAUGGGCGUGAAUAAAGAGAGAACUGGAGAAGUAUUGGAACAGGCGGGUCACCUCAGUUGACCAGGAAACAUGGCAUUAGUCAACGCAAACCUUGGCUUUCGAUCUCUACAUCGGUGCUGAAUAUUGUUGAACGGAAACACGUGGCCAGCUACAUUGGUUCUAGACAACAAAGGCUGCAACAAUUAACCUGAAAUUGAAAAUUUUGAAAUUUUUUUGAAAACAUAACAUCUUAAGAUGACUGGUAACCUUCUCUUAUUGGUUGGCUCUAAAUCAAAACCACUAUACAUGCAUUGUUCAAUGUAUAUAUGAUGUAGCAUUUUUGUGUUUUGUCUUUUACAAGUUGUAUAUAUUGGAAAAUUCUGACACCAUACAAAAACAUAGAAAAGCCACAAAUACCGCAACUUGCAUAUUUUCAUUUUAUGGCUGAAACUUUUCAAUGAAUCAUUAUCUUUAUUUCAAACUUUAAAAUUUUGAAAACAUAACAUCUUAAGAUGACUCGUAACCUUCUCUUAUUGGUUGGCUCUAAAUCAAAACCACUAUACAUGCAUUGUUCAAUGUAUAUAUGAUGUAGUAUUUUUGUGUUUUGUCUUUUACAAGUUUUAUAAAUUGGAAAAUUCUGACACCAUACAAAAACAUAGAAAAGCCACAAAUACCGCAACUUGCAUAUUUUUAUUUUAUUUUAAUUAUUUAUAGUUGAUUAGGUUUAUGGUAUGCCAUGUUGGAUGCUUUCAGAUUUUACAGAUCUAAGUUACUUUUAUUUUGAGAACGAAUAUUCCAUAAUUCAACCUUUUCCUUUUCUUGUUGGUAAUCAUGAUACAUAAAAUCUAGGAAUGCUAAACACAUCUUUUUUAAAAGUACUAUAUUGUAUUACAAUAGGAAAUGGCUUUUAUCAAAAGAGAAAUAUCCUUAAAUUGAUUAGGCCUAGCUCAUACUUUCAUCAACCAUAUGAUGACAUGAAAAAAAUCAAAGAAGAAAUAUGGGAAAUGGUACGAAAAGAGAUGGGUAGUAAUAACAUGAGACAACAACUUGUUUUACAACUAGUUGUAGCAGAAAAACCAAUGUUUAAAAUGAUAGAAGAGCCCCAACCACCAGAACCACCACUGAAACACAAGGUAUGCAUUUACUUACUAAUAAUACAAGAUUAAUAUAAGUGACAUAAAGCCUAUGUAAAUGAUAUUAUUUGUUGUAUUGAAGGUAAUUAAAUGUAAAUUAGCAGUGGAAAGAAAAGAAAAUGUUGUUCCAACUGGUACACUAAUAGAAGAAAAAGGAUCGAAUAGGUUGGUUGUAAUAAAUGCUGCACACAAGCCAGAUGCUAGACUCCCAUUUCCAAAUCCAUAUGAGAUUAUCAAUGUUGGGGAUGCUAUUGGCUUUGAGCUUGACUGGCCAACAAGCCUUGUCAUACUUGAAACUGAACAUCCUUAGGUAUGUCAUUUUAUGCCUAUAGUAAAUUUGAUUGUAACUUGGUAUUUUAUUGUUUAGGAGUAUAUAUAUCUAACAUUCCUUCCUUUUUCAUAGGUGUUGGAUAAAGGAAAGAAGAAGAUAGUGAAGACACCAAUUUUUUGAAAAUCUAAGCCUCAAAAUCAUUCGGUCAUUAAAAAUUUUCAAAAAUUUGUGGAUGGUUGUCUUGGUAAUGACAAGACAUACCCAAUACAGCUCCCCAUUUCACUUUUUGGUGUCGAAUUUCAAACAUAUAUAUCUAGAGAGGAUUGUGAAUACAUUAUUUCAUCUUUAGAGGUGUCAUCAAACUGCAUCUCCUUCUAUUUAUGGUGUGCACCUUUUAUUUUCAUUUGUUUUUAUUUUUUUAAAUAUGAGUUGCCCAUGUUGAACGAAAUUGGAUAUGACUAAUGAUAAUUUUCUUUUGGUGUUUUGAUACAAUAAUAGGCACAUGCAUGAUCAACUACAUAUUGCCAAAAAGGAAUCACAAUUUAUAUUUGUUAAUCCUUUUACAAUAUCACGAGCAAGCCUUAGUACUCAUCAAACAGAGAAAAGAGCACAAUUGUUGUCAAAACGCUUAAUGGAGUGCCAAGAUGCUAAAUAUGUUUUCAUACCUUACAACCCUGAGUAAGUGACAAAUAUUAUACUUUAAUUUGAGGUUUUAUGAUUGAUUUAUAUUUCUAAUUAGACGCUACUUUUGUUUUUAAUGUUUUAGCUUUCAUUGGGUCUUGGUGGUGAUUGAGCCAAGGAAAAUGAUAGUCCACUAUCUUGACCCUAUGCAUCACAAACUAUUUGAGGACUUAAAGAAUAUCGUAAACAUGUAAGUUCUUCCUAUUAUUUUUCAUAGUAUUAUUUUUUUUUUUUUAUAAAAAAUACAUUCAUCUCAAACACAUUGAACUUAUUUACAUAGGGCACUUCGAAUAUCUACAAAGAAAACAUCUAAAAGGGAGCCAUCUUGGCAACUAGUGCAGGUGACAUCCAAAAAAUUUUCUUUACACAUUAGCUUAUGCAUUUGCACCAUUUAUAUAUAUGAGUACUAAUGUUAUUUUAUAAUUGAUCGAUUAGUGUCCAAGACAAGAAGGAGGGUUCGAAUGUGGCUACUUUGUUAUGAGAUUCAUAAAAGAGAUAAUUUUUUAUCCUACAAUUAUUGCUUCAAAGGUAUUACAAAUUUAAUGAAUUGUACAUAGUUUUAGGCUUCCAAAUGUUAUGCAUUUUAAUGUUAUUUUCUUAUUUGAUUUCAGUUUGGUGAUAAAAAAACAUAUUCUCAAGUAGAAUUCGAUGAAAUUAGAGAAAAAUGGGCUACUUUUGUGCUACAACUAAUCAUGAAUCAUGUUGAUGCAUCAUGAUCACCAUGCAUGGUGAGUCCUUUAGCUACUACAUGAAUUUUUCCAUAGGUUCUUUGAAUAAUGUUUCUAUUUGAAAAAAAAAAAGAAAAAAAAAUAGUUCUUAGAUUUUUUUCAUUUAUGAUAACAUCGAUCCAUGUUUAUUUUCUUCAAUAAAAAUCUAUAAAACUCAUUAAACUAUGAAAUGCAAGUAUACACUUUUGGGAUGGUGGAAUGGAGAAUAAAAAGAAAGAAGAAGGCAACAAGAUUUUGGGUUUUUAAAUGCAACUCUUAUGUCAUACGUUGUAGGACAUAAAUGUUAAUUUAAUUAGUACUGAGAAAUUUAGAUUUUUAGAUGGGACUUUUAUGUCAUUUUAUAGUUAGCCGGUUUUAUGCUUAUGAAUUGGAGGUAUACAUGAAUCUUGGGAUCUUUAACAUUUCUAAAUCAUGUUUUGGUAUGUAUUCACUCUUCUUUUUUUAGUUUUGAUGGGUUUGAUAUGUUGGAUGUACUAUCUUUUUGUGAACAUUUGAUAUACAAAUAUUAUUAGAUGAUCAAUGUAUUAUGAGUUAUUCUAGAAACAUUACAGAAAAAUGAGUUAAAUAUAAUAUUAUUGUUAUAUUUAUGGACAAAAAAUAAAUAGGUUAAUCUUACUUAUUAAUUCAUAAGCAUUACAAAAAUUUAUAACUAAAAGCAAUCAUAUCUUCCACAAUAAUUUACAAUGAUGUGACACCAUUACUCAAAGGUGAUGCAUUUAAUAUGACAUUAUAAUUCAAAGAUGAUGCAUUUAAUGCGAUACCCUCUCAUCACUAGAAAUAUAUGGUGUCACUUCCGAAUGGGUCACCAUUUAUCUACUUUGGUGUCACUUCCAAAUACGUUACCAAUUGGUACCCUCUAUGGUAUCAGUGGAGAAGGUGACGCUAUGUUGUAGUGACACCCUAUGUUUAUGGUAACUCGUUAUAAAUGUCACCAUAUAUCUUUUUCCCUAUAGUGUAUAGCUCCAGUGAGGCUGUUCUCAGAGAAACAAAGGUAUGUCAAGUUUGUCAUUUGGCCUAGUACAGCAGGAAUGCUUCCAGUCAGAUUGUUAUCGUCCAAGUCUAUUGUCUCCAGGCUCCAAUAGCCUUGUAUGGAGGCUGGAAUAUUGCCUCCAAGCUUAUUACAACUCAUGUUUAUGAAUGUUAACUCAGAAAGCUCUCCAAUGGUAGCUGGGAUCCCUCCAUACAAGCUGUUGCCUUGCAAAGAGAGGGUGGUGAGAUGGGAUAGAUUGGAUAUGUAUGGUGAGAUAACUCCCUGUAAGCGCAUGUUUAUGAGCUUGAUUGACUCUAUUGAUAUUUUGUUGGUUGAGCAUGGAUUUAUGACUUAUAACGCACACGUGGAGGGUUGAAUUUCAUGAAAGAAAAUGAGGGUCAGAAAAAUAAUAAAUGGCAAGACAUUGAGCUUAUUGUGGGUAUGAUUGGGUACAAAUUCUUUUGUAUAUAUCUACUUGGGGUAUACAAUUGAAUAUUUAAUUUAGGAAGAUUCAAAAAAUUGUUUUCAAUGAAAUUCAAUAAUAAUAAUAAUAAUAAUAACAAUUGCCUGGAAAUUUAUUUAUUUAAUAAACAUUGUUUUGUCAUCAAAGUUAAUUUUUAAUAAAAUUAUCUAAAAAAAUGAAUUUUUAAAUAAAAUUCUAUUUCCUUAAUUAAAAUGGGCUAAAAAGUAAUUUUUGCAAAUUAAUGUCUUAAAUAACCUUUUCAUAAUAAUAGAAUGAGAAUCUUUUUAGCAAAUUGAACUUAUACAAAUCAUUUUCUUUUUGUAAAUAAAGUUUGUAAAAAAAUUAUUUUCUUUAUAAAUAAAAUCAAAUUGAAAUAUUUUUACAACUAAAAGAAUAUUUAGUUGAGCAAGUGAUGAACUAUUUUCUUGUUUAAGUAACCUUUUGUAAUGUUCCCCCAGCAUAAUGGUAGUACAAUAAGAGGGUUUAUUAUGUACUUCUUUCUAUAUGGACUUUGGGUAUAAUAAAAACAAUGCUUUCUCUUUCUCUCUCUCUCUCUCUCCCCCUCAGUCCACAGGUUUAGACCCUUAGCUUUACCCUGCACUAAGUCUUGAAAGCCAAAGAUUAUGCAGAAUCAAACUCUUAAAGUCUACAGCAUGAGUUGAGGAAAAAAGGAUGAGUAUUUAACGUAGUAGUUGAGGAAUGAUUCAAUGUUUGAAAUAUAAAAAAUGCAAUCCAUUGAACACUUAGCUGGCCUAUCUGCUUAUUAUUGUAUACAUAAAACAUAGACUAAUCCGAAGACUUCUAUGUGAUAACUUUAGAAUUUUCAUAUCCAAGGUUUUCACUUCUUUCUCAUCAGAAGACAAAGAUUGUAACUGUUGCAGAAAACCUAACAACCUAGUUUAUUUGUUAAGGUCCCUUUCUCUCAUAAAACAUAAAUAUAUUCACUAUCAAACACCAUAAUGAUAAUAAUAAUUAAUGAUCUUCUUUUUGCUGUAUAUACACUACUUUAGAGUUUGUUCAAUGUUUGGUUACCAAGAAAACACAAGGACUGAUCUGCUGCAUUAAAAGGUUAAUAUGUAGUUCUUCCAUUAGCUAGCCAUUUGGAACUAAGUCUUGUGGAGAACUUUUCAUAUUGGAGAUGGAUAUGAAAUUGGACCUGCCUCCACCUCAUUGAACUUCACUUUCAACAUAUGCAUUGAGAAUAUUUAAGUUAAGAUCAGUAUACUAACUAACCCUACAUAAAUUAACAUGUAUUGGUGAAAACACUUAUCCUUGUAAGUGAGAAAGCAAAAAAAGAAAAAAAAAAAAAGAAAAAAGAGAGAGACCUACCCAUUGAAGACUGUCUAUAAAUUGACAUGUUUCUCAUGCAAAAAUUUUCACCCCUCGCCUAAACGCAAAGAUUUGUAAUUGUUUGGAGACAGUACUCUAACAAUGGAGAAAGGUGUUAGUUUCCUAGUAACUGUGGCCCUCAUGGCAUUGGCUUCAUCUUUUGCCUCUGCCUCUGAUCCAAGCCCACUGCAGGACACUUGCGUUGCCAGACCCAAGAAUGCUGGUAUUUCUUUAGUAACCAACGAACUUGUCUCUAUUUUCACUAAUCUUUCCAAUUCAAUAUUGGGCACAUUAAUGCAGUAGCCAUUGCUGGUCUGAGCAGCCAAAAUCCAGGUGUAAUCACCAUAGCCAAUGCAGUGUUUGGAUCAAAUCCACCCAUCAAUCCCGAUUUCCUGGCAACGGCCUUCCAGUUGGACAAGAAGGUGGUUGAAUUCCUUCAAGCACGAUUCUAGUGGGGAAAUAGAGAAAAUGAAGAAGCUAUGAACCUUUGGUUUUCUUGCUUGAAUGACUAUUUGUGAUGUUCAAUUACCUCAUUACAAUAAGAGGGGUUUAUUACUUUAUUUUGUAGCUCUUUUGGUGUGGAUUUUGAUCCUGAUAUUAAAAUAAAGCAGUUUGUCUGUUAGGCAUCUUCUUCUGUCUCCAUCUCAAUAUUUGUCUUAAAAAAUCUCAUCUUGUGAAAAAACAACUGGAUAACAACUCUCAGUUGAUUGAUUAACCUGCAUGUGCAGAAUGUUUAUUAAGAAGGAAUACUUAGCUAGUUGUAAAACAGUACUACUGUUACUUCCAGCAUAAGUGUCAUGAAAAUUGUGAAGAAAGAAUGGAAAUGAAAACCCAGAAAUCUUAUGACAUCUACUGUAGACAAAUUAAUGUCUUAAAUAAUCUUUUCAUAAUAAUAGAAUGAGAAUCUUUUUAGCAAAUUGAACUUAUACAAAUCAUUUUCUUUUCGUAAAUAAAGUUUGUAAAGAAAUUAUUUUCUUUAUAAAUAAAAUCAAAUUAAAAUAUUUUUGUAAAUAAACUAAAAAUUAAUGUCCUAAGUAAAAAUCAUUUUUAUUGUCAAAUUGGAAUUUUUUGAAUAAAUUCUAUCCAAAUAGAAUUGAAUCAAAUCAUUUAUUGGAAAUAAAUAAAUAAAUUAAAAUCUUGAAAAAGUAAUAUUUAAAAUAUCUUUUUGUAAUCAAUUUAAUAAAUCGGUUUGUAUAAUUCUAAUGUCAUUUAUUUUGUACAUUUUUGUAAUUUAAUUUUAUCAUUAUUUUCUUGUAUAUUAAUUUGUCUCUUUAAUCUUGAUAUUCAUGAUUGAUCAAUUAACUGUCAUAAUUCAUUUCGUUUGUUUAGUAAAUAUUGUUAGUAUACAUGCUUAGAGGAGUAUUACGACUUAUUACUGUACCUUCCUGAUAGGCAACCUGACCCUUGAAUAUAGACUUGAUUUUACAAACAUGUCUUUUCUAAAUGAGGAGUUACACAAAAUUUUCUUUCUUAUUUUGUUCUCUUUUAAAAAAUAAAUUAAAAUAAGUGGCAACCCUAAUUUUUUUAUAAAAAAAAAAAAAAAAUCAAAUUUUCACAAUAAAAAUGAGUCUCACUGUCGAGUGGGAACACACGCAAAAAAUACGGGUCAACAUGUAUCCAAUUGAUUGGGGUCAAUGUCAAGAUGUGUGAUAAAGAUGCAAAUUUGAAUAUGAAUCCUGCCAUUGAUUGAAUCUUGAACUACCCGAUAGUGGUUGUAACAAGUGAGAUAAGUUGCUAAGGUUUGCGUUGAAAAGUUCAGCCAUGGAAAGUUACUAGUCAUCCAAAUAUGUAUAUAAAUCAAAGUGCACAUUCUAAAUCAAAGAAAUCAGCCUCCUUAAGCAAAAGACCUUACAAUUCUUAGAGUAUGUUUGGUAGUAAUUUUAGGAAGUGUUUUUAACUUUUUUAAUAAUUGAAAAAUAAGAAUUUUGAAGUAUUAAAAAAUGUUAGAAACACUUCCUAAAAUCACUAUCAAACGCACUUUUAAUGUAAUUUGCUCUAUCUACCACUUGAUGUGGAUGUUAAGAUUGAUAUCCUUGGUCAUUGCCUAUAAUCCUAUAUCUAUAAUUGCAAGAAGACAUACAUUGAAACAUGAAUACCCUUUCACUAUGUUUGGUUUAUGGAAAAUACUAAGAAAAGAAAAUGUUUUUCUUAUAUUUAGUUUUAUUAUGAAAAAUAAGAAAAAAUAAAAUAUAAUUAUAAUUAAUUAAAAUUUUAUGUAUUUUAAAAUUAUUUAAUAUUUAUAUAAUGAAGGAAAAUAAAUGAAACGAGCUUGAAAAAGUAUAUAAAAAUAAUUUAUUAAUUAUAACUUGUAUGCGACUAUUUUGUACUUUAAUCCCGUUUUUCUUUUAUCCUCUUGUAGGUACCUUGAUUUUAUAUAUUUGUAUCUUUAUUCAAUGAUUUAGAUUUCAUAUAUUUGUAUCUUUAAUUGAGAUUGCAAGAUCUGUACGGAUUCAGAUUAGGGAUGGCAACGCUAUAAGCUUAAGAUAAGUUACUCAUAUCCCAAUCCAUUAUAUUUAUUCGUAUAUGUUAUCAUCCCCACCAAAAAAAGAAAUUAAAUGGGAUGGGACGGGUAUAGGAAAUUCUCAUGCCUACCCCAUGCUAUCCCGUUUUUUAUUUAUUUAUUUUUCAAUUUUUAUUUCUAAAAUUUUAAGAAAAUUAAUAUUUUAAAUAUGUUAAAAAAAUUGAAAACUGAAAAAAGAAAUCAAUUAAAAGAACUUUUUAUUUAACAUUAUACAUAAUUAGGCUGAGGUAGGAUGAAACAAACUCAUACCCAAAAUCACCCCGAAUCAAUCUCGGGUUUUAAAAAAUUUCUCAAAUUCAAGAUGAGACAAAAUCAUAUCCAAAACUAUCUCGAAUCCAUCCUAGAUUUUAAAAAUUUUCUCAAAUUUAUCUAAACUCGUUUAUCAUUAUCUCAAAACGAGCCCAUUAAGGGUAGGACGAGUACUAAAUAAAAUUGGUAUAUUAUCAUCCCUAAUCAAGAUCCUAAAAUUUUUCUUUAUGAUAAUGAAAACAACAAUCAUAGUCGUCAUCUCUCUAUCAGUUUACUUGUUAGGUUUGAUCAAAUACACCUUAUGUGUUGCCUUUGGGCAACCUAGCUCUCUCAAUCAUUGUCUAAAGUUCGGGUGUUUGUUUAUUUUUUUAAUUCAUUUUGUCUUAAGUUUUUUAUUAUUAAAUAAAAUUUCUUUUUGUUACUUUAAACACCUCUAAUAAUUAUACUUUUUAUUUUUUAUAUUUAUAUUUAUCAAGUUUAUAACUGUAAAAUUUAUAAAAAUGUUAGUUUUUUGUUUUUAAAAAUAAUAAAAAGUGAUAUUUAAAGGGUCAAGUGGGCCAGCAUGAUGGCACGAUGGGUUGUUUCCUUAGGCCCACCACGACCCGCUCCUUUGGGCCAUGCCGGCCUGACUCGGUCUUUUGGCGCACUUGGCCACAGGCCAAAAUGGGUGGCUCGACCCAUUGGACACCUCUAGUAGUUACAUGUCUAGCAUCCAAACGUUAGACCAGAUGAGUUUUGUCAAACCCAACCCAUUCAUCCCCUUUGCCUCAUGUUGGCCACCCGGUUCGGACCAGCCUUGACAUGAACGGCAAGGUCCAAUGGAUUAGGUUGAUUUAGGGUCUCGAUUAUUUUUGUUUAAAUAAAUUGCAAAGAAAAAAAAAACUUGGUUUGGAUAAAUAAAUUUCAAUUGUUUUUAAAAUAGGUUUUUAUUUUAUUUUUUGUAAAAUUUUUUAUAAAUUCAAUUUAUACAAUAUUAAUUAUAUGUAAUUGAAGUCUUAUUAAAGAUUUUUUAAAAAAUAGUUUUUAAAUUAAAGAUAAAUUAAAAAAAAUCAUAAAAUAUGAAAUUAAUAUUAUAAUAAAAUCAUAAAUUAUGGUUUUUAUUUAAAAUGAUACUAUUUUAAGAUAUGAUUUAUUUAUUUUUAUAAGAAUGAAUAAUACUAAUUUUAAAAUAAUAAAAGGGUGAUAUAUUUUAUUUGAAAUAAAUUUAAAAAUAAAUAAAUUUUAUUUUUUUAAUACGUAAAUAAGUCAUGUUUUUCAUUAUAUCUACACCCGAGAAUUUAAACUUGACCCAAACUUCAACUAAAAAGACCUAUAUCCAACACAGUUAUUAGAGGUGUCCAAUGGGUCGUGUCGGGCCAACACAAUCCGAUGUUUAUCAGGCCAAUGCGUUGGCUCGACCCAUGCAAGCCAAAUAGGUGGCUUGACAUGGCCCAUAAGCCCAUGUGCUAAUCAUGUCGUGUUGUGCCAUGCCGGUGAGUCGUGCCCCAUGGGCACACACUUUAUUAAAAAUUUUAAUUAAUUUUUUUUAAUUCAUUUUGACUUAAGUUUUUUUAUUAUUAAAUAAAAUUUCUUUUUGUUACUUUAAACACCUCUAAUAAUUAUACUUUUUUAUUUUUUAUACACUUCUAAUAAUUAUACUUUUUUUUUAUAUUUAUAUUUAUCAAGUUUAUAACUGUAAAAUUUAUAAAAAUGUUAGUUUUUUGUUUUUAAAAAUAAUAAAAAGUGAUAUUUAAAGGGUUAAGUGGGCCAGCAUGAUGGCACGAUGGGUUGUUUCCUUAGGCCCACCACGACCCGCUCCUUUGGGCCAUGCCAGCUUGACUCGGUCUUUUGGCGCACUAGGCCACAGGCUAAAAUGGGUGGCUCGACCCAUUGGACACCUCUAGUAGUUACAUGUCUAGCAUCCAAACGUUAGACCGGGUGAGUUUUGUCAAACCCAACCCAUUCAUCCCCUUUGCUUCAUGUUGGCCACUCGGUUCAGACAUUGGGUUGAUUUGGGGUCUCGGUUCUUUUUGUUUAAAUAAAUUGCAAAGAAAAAAAAAACUUGGUUUGGAUAAAUAAACUUCAGUUGUGUUUAAAAUAAGUUUUUAUUUGAUUUUUUGUAAAAAAAAUUAUAAAUUCAAUUUAUACAAUAUUAAUUAUAUUUAAUUGAAGUCUUAUUAAAGAUUUUUUUAAAAAUAGUUUUUAAAUUAAAGAUAAAUUAAAAAAAUUCGUAAAAUAUGAAAUUAAUAUUAUAAUAAAAUCAUAAAUUAUGAUUUUUAUUUAAAAUGAUACUAUUUUAAGAUAUGAUUGAUUUAUUUAUUUAUUUAUUUUGAUAAGAAUGAAUAAUACUAAUUUUAAAAUAAUAACAGGGUGAUAUUUUAUUUGAAAUAAAUUUAAAAAUAAAUAAAAUUUAUUUUUUUUAAUACGUAAAUAAGUGAAGUUUUUCAUUAUAUCUACACCUGAGAAUUUAAUCAAGGAUAUAGUAUUUUGAACUAGUUUUGAGUCAUUCCUAUAAGCUUCAUUCAGUCAUUAUGGUUUAGACAAUUGAUAAUUAAUCUGUUGGCAUAAUUGAUUCUGCAAAACAGUAUCCUGAAUUUAGUAUCGAGGGAGGCAGAAACACAGCGAGAGAGAGAGAGAGAGAGAGAUGAUGCUUAACAAACAGACUGCAGACUGCUUUAUUGUAGUAAUAUGCCCAAAGUCCACACUAGAAGAGUUACAACCAGACCCUCUUAUUAUACCAUGUUUGUUACAAUGAGGGAAUUGAACAUCAUGAAUCGUCAUUCAAGCAAGGAAAUCAAAGGUUGACAGCUUAUUCUUUUUCUAUAUUUCCCCACUAGAAUCGUGCUUGAAGGUAUUCAACCACCCUCUUGUCCAACUGGAAGGCCCUUGCCAGGAAAUCAGGAUUGAUGGGUGGAUUUGAUCCAAACAUUGAACUGGCUAUGGUGAUUACACCUGGAUUUUGGCUGUUAAAAACGGCAAUGGCUACUGCAUUAGUGUGCCCAAUGUUGACUUGGAAGUGAAUGAGACUGAAAGGGAACACAAAAACAUCCCCCUUGUUCAGGACUUUGCUAAUGAAGCGGUGUUCAGGGUUGGAUGUGAUAAAGCCAACAAAGAGUUUUCCCUCCAAGACAAUGAAGAUCUCACUGGCACGAGGGUGAAAGUGAGGAGGGUUUUGACCAUUAGGUUCAUAAUCGAUACGAGACAGUGACACCCCAAGAGUGUUUUCUCCUGGUAAUUGAUCAACAUUUAUAAGAUUGACAAUUGAGCCCACAUAAUUUGAUGUGUUUCCUGGAAUAUUCAGCCCUUGAUACAAGAAAUCCUCGGCCACGGUCAGGUUUGGGUUCUUGCAGAACUUCCCAUUUACAAAUACUGCAUGAAGAAGGAAAAAAGAAAAGAUGUAUCCUUAGUAUCAAACCAUACUCACCAUAUCAAUAAAAAGAGUAGUACUGAAAAUAGCUAUAACAUCAUUGGUUACAAUAGAAAUACCAGCAUUCUUGGGCUCAUCAACUGCAACACAGGUGUCUUCCAGUGGGCUUGGAUCAUAGGCAGAGGCAAGAAACGAAGCCAAUGCCAUGAGGGCCACAGUUACCAUGAAACUAACGCCUUUCUUUAUUGUUAGAGUACUGUCUCCAACAAUCCCAAUCUUUAUCUUUCGGCGGGGAUAAUAAAUUUAGCCUGGAAAAGAUGUUAAUUUAUAGACCAGAGUCGGUGAGUUAGUCUUUGCAUAAACUCACCAAGUCUUCAAUGGGAAGUUUUUUCUUCUUUCUUUUUUCACUUUCGAGGACAAGCGGUUGCACCAAUACGUGUUGAUUUACGUAGGAUUAGUCAGUGUAUAGAUCUUAACCAGAAUAUAAAGCAAUGUACAAUCAGGUGGAGGCAGGUCCAAUUUAAUAUCAAUCUGCAUGAUCCAUACGUUUACAUUUAUAGUAGAGCUUUCUGCUCUUUUAGUAGUGUAUAGACAAGCAAAUAGAAGAUUACAGAGUAGGUGCCAGCUUGGAGUAUACAAUGACCCGCCCAUAUCAAACAUGGUUACUCCAUGAGGCUUGUGUAGGUUCAGUUUAAUGAGUAUCUAUAUAGCUUAAUUCACCAUUCAAAGUGUUGAGAGAUUGGCUGAUGAGAUUAAAUAUGUAGCCAAGUUCUGAGUUUCUAGCUCAUGUGCCUUCCACUGAGUGAAAAGUCCUUGGAUAAGCUCUGGCUUUCUGCUAUACGCUCAUUAGGCUUUCCUCAGUUACAAAAGCUUUGACUAUGAUUUUUACGCUUGUAGCCUUCGCUGUCUGAGCGGUUUCUAAGACUUUUUAAUUAGUUGCUUCUAAGUUGUCUUUAACAAGCAAGUCCGUAUUUUCUGGCGAGAAGCAAGAAAAUACCAAUUGAUUAGAUGAAGUCCUUCGACUAAUCUAUGCCCUAUACGUAAGGUAAUUAAGCAGUUACACUUUCCAAAUCUUCAAUGGAUGUCAUUUUUCGAAUUGAAAGGUUGAACUUCCUCAAGUUAUGCUCUAGACUCUAGAAUGAAUUCUACAUAAUCUUCGGUUUUAGGCCUUAUUCCUAGUUUAAAGCUAAGAAGUAAACCAGUGGACAGACCAUCUGUAAUCAGAUUGUGAUUAGUGUCAUGACCCAUUAGAUCUUUAUAAGAAGUUGGCCAUGGUUCAAAGUCACGGUAUCCGUCACCAAAUCGGUAAGUCCCGAGGUACAUCAGUUUCAACGUCACGGAUCGAUAUCGGAUGAUACGCAAAAAUUUAUAGUUUAAAAGCUCAAAACAAUUUAAAAAGAUUACAAAAAUAAAUACAAAUAAAUAAAGUUAAAAAUUAAGAAAUAAAAUUUUAUUAUGUAUAAAAUUAUUCAAAUUAUGAUAAAACAUACCUUUGUAAUGAUUUAUAAAAAUAUUAAAACUAUAAAAAAAAUAAUUUAAUCACUUAAUAUUAAAUAUGCAUCAUUAAAGAUGAAAAUAAUAAAAAGUGAAUUUAUAGUUUAUAAUUUUUUUAAAAUUAAAUAUUUUGAAUUUUUUAAAAAUAUUUUCAAUAUUUAAAAAAAUACAUCUAGGAAUCAUCUUUGAAAAAAAUAAACAUCAUUUUUCUUAUCAAAUGUAUUCUAAAUAAAACAAUUAUAAAAAUAAAGAAUUUUUAUUUGAAUGAGCAUAUUUGAAUAUAAUAUAUUUUUUCUAUACAUCUAUUCAUUUGAAUUGAAUUUUUAUAUUAAUAUUCAUUUCCUUUUUUAUUCAUGUAAACCUAAAUAUUCAUUAUUAAUGUACCAUAAUCCUAAUUCCCAUCAAAUUUGCAUUAUCCAUUUAAAUACAAUUAUUCACAACAUAUUCAUUAACUACUUAAAAAACAAAUACCCACCCAAAUUUGUAAUCCUAUCAAAUACCCAUAACCCAUUGGCAAACACGUAUUUCCUUUUUUUGGCACAAUACCCAUUUUCUCUCUAAAACAACACUUUGAGCUCUCUAUUUCUUUGCACAAUACCUAUAUUUGAAGGCUAAAAAAAUAGGCCUACAAAGAUACAAAAGGAUGGAGCUAGAAAUACAAGGAUGAAGAUGCACAAGGUUUGAAGACUCUAUACUCUCCACACUUCUUCACUUUCAUAUGUUUCCAUCAUCUUCUUUCAUCCACUAUUUUCGCUCCUAUAUUACCAUUUUUUCCCAUCACCCAUCACCCGAAGAGCUUAGUUUGAAUAUAAUCUUGGGGUUAUCUCAAAGUUUCUUUGUGAUUCAACAAGUUUUUUCAUGAGUCAACCAAAUAUUAGACUCAGGUAUCGGUUCAGUACUAGUCAUGGACAAGAUUUUAACCCUGUUUGAGCUCUCUAUUUCUUUGUACAAUACCAAUUUUUAAAGGCUCACAAAAUAACCCUAUGAAAAUACAAGAGGAUAGAGAUGCAAAUACAGGGAUGAAGAUGCAAAAGGUUUGAAGACUUUGAACUCUCCAUAUUCUUCGGUUUCAUGGGUUUCAAUCUUCUUCUCUCAUCAACUAUUUCUGCUCCAAUAUUACCAUUUUUUUCCAUCACCCAUGACCUGAAGAGCUUAGCUUGGACAUAAUCUUAGGGAUAUCUCAAAGUUUCUUUGUGAUUUAACAAGUUUAUUCAUGAUUCAACCAAAUAUUGGACUCGGAUAUCGGUCCGAUACCGAUCAUGGCUGAGGCAUAUAUGAAUCGGUUGAGUCGUACCGGUCUCGACCGAGAUUUUGAACCUUGUUUGAGCUUUCUAUUUCUUUGCACAAUACUAAUUUUUGAAGCCUUAUAAAAUAGCCCUACGAAGAUAUAAGAGGAUGAAGAUGCAAAUACAAGGAUGAAUAUGCAAAGGGUUUGAAGACUUUGAACUCUCCAUACUUCUUCACUACCAUAGGUUUCAAUCUUCUUCUCUCAUCCACCAUUUCCAUUCCAAUAUUACCAUUUUUUUUUCCAUCACCCAUCACUCAAAGAGCUUAGUUUGGACAUAAUCUUGGGGUUAUCUCAAAGUUUCUUUAUGAUUCAACAAGUUUAGUCAUGAGUCAACUAAAUAUUGGACUUGGGUAUCAGUCUGAUACUAGUCAUGACCAAGAUUUUGAACCCUUUUUGAGCUCUCUAUUUCUCUACAUAAUACCCAUUUUUGAAUGCUCACAAAAUAACCCUACAAAGAUACAAGAUGAUAGAGAUGCAAAUACAAGGAUGAAGAUGCAAAGGGUUUGAAGACUCUAAACUCUCCAUACUUCUUCACUUUCAUAGGUUUCGAUCUUCUUCUCUCAUCCGCCAUUUCAACUCCAAUAUUACCAUUUUUUUCCAUGACCUAUCACUCGAAGAGCUUAUUUUGGACAUAAUCUUGGGGUUAUCUCAAAGUUUCUUUUUUAUUCAACAAGUUUAUUCAUGAGUCAACCAAAUAUUGGACUUGAGUAUUAGUUCGGUACUGGUCAUGGCCGAGGUGGAUAUGACUUGGCCAAGUCAUACUGGUCUCAAUCGAGAUUUUGAACCCUAUUUGAACUCUCUAUUUCUUUGCACAGUACCCAUUUUUUAAGGCUAACAAAUUAGCCCUACGAAGAUAUAAGAGGAUUGAGAUGCAAAUAAAGAAAUGAAGAUGCAAAGGGUUUGAAGACUCUAAACUCUUCAUACUUUUUCACUUUCAUGGGUUUCAAUCGUCUUAUCUCAUCCACCAUUUUCGCUCCAAUAUUACAAUUUUUUUCCAUCACCCAUCACCCAAAAAGCUUAGUUUGAACAUAAUCUUGGAGUUAUCUCAAAGUUUAUUUUUUAUUCAACAAGUUUAUUCAUGAGUAAACCAAAUAUUGGACUCAAGUAUCAAUUCAAUAUCAAUCAUGGUUGAGGCGGAUAUGACUCGAACAAGUUGUACUUGUCUCAACCGAGAUUAUGAACCCUAUUUGAGCUCUCUAUUUAUCUCUACAAUACCCAUUUUUGAAGGCUUACAAAAUAGUCCUACGAAGAUACAAGAUGAUGGAGAUGCAAAUACAAGGAUGAAAAUCCAAAGAGUUUGAAGACUCUGAACUCUCCAUAUUUUUUCACUUUCAUGAGUUUUGAUUUUCUUCUCUUAUCUGCCAUUUCCGCUCCAAUAUUACCAUUUUUUCCAUUACCCAUCACUUGAAGAGCUUAGUUUGGACAUAAUAUUAAGGUUAUCUCAAAUUUUCUUUGUGAUUCAACAAGUUUAUUCAUAAGUCAGCCAAAUAUUGGACUUGGGUAUCUGUUCGAUACUAGUCAUAUAUGGUAGAGGCGGAUAUGACUCAACCAAGUUGUACUAGUCUCAACUAAGAUUUUGAACCCUAUUUGAGCUCUCUAUUUCUCUGUACAAUACCCAUUUUAAAGGCUCACAAAAUAGCCCUACCAAGAUACAAGAUAAUGAAGAUGCAAAUAUUACUCAUUGAAUAUCUAGCAAUAAUUGGUUUAUUUUUUAUUUUUGAAUUAUUUUUUAAAAUUAAAUAUCUAUUAAUGAAACAAAAAUACUAAUGAUUAAUACCAAAAAGUGCUAUUUUGUAGAUCUAAUUAUAAUGGUUUUAAGCACCUUUGAGUAGUAAUCAUAUUCAUUUAACCCAAUUAAUUCAUUAAGGUCCUUAGUAAUUGGUUUUAACCAUUUUGUGGCAAGUUUACAUGUUUUUAUCAGCUUAUGAAUCAAUUCAAGCAUGCCAAAUGAUGGAGGAGCUACUUAGACAAGUUAAAGCAAGGAUUUUGGAAGUUUACAGGCUUGAAUUUCAAGUGGAAACACGAGCACAAGCAAUGGAGAAGAGGAAAACAGAGUGAAGAAAACAGAGGACAGCAGCUGCAGUCUUCUUUUGCACUUUUGGAGCACUUCCCGAAGUCCAUUUUCUACAUUCUAUAUACCAUUUCAAAGCUCAGGAAGUCAAUAAUCCAAUGCUUCAAACGGUGCGUGAUUCGGAGUUGAAACGAAGGAGUUACAGCCAUUGCAAUCAGAUCACUCCAAGCUGCUGCGAAAUCAGCCUUUUGUUGCGAGAAUUUCGCAGCCUUUUUGUACAGUGCAAUGGAAUUCCUCCUGAAGCUACCCGAUAUAUGCUGCAAGCUGGAAUGCUGAGAACCUCAAGGUGGAAGCCAACUUCGCAGCCCUGCGAAGAUAGCUUGGUGUUGCGAAAUUAUUUCGCAACCCUCUUGAGUGUCUGCGAAAUCUCGCAGACCUCGUUUUCACCUGCGAAAUGUCCUUAGUGCUUCCUGAUAUUUGUGCACCGACUCUUUUGGAUAUUUUUCUUCAGAUAUUUUUGUAUAAAUUUCCAUUUUCUCCUUGUUUUCAGCCACUCAUGUAAUUCCUUAGCUAGGAAGUNNNNNNNNNNNNNNNNNNNNNNNNNNNNNNNNNNNNNNNNNNNNNNNNNNNNNNNNNNNNNNNNNNNNNNNNNNNNNNNNNNNNNNNNNNNNNNNNNNNNGAGAGAGAUUUAGUGUUUGAACCCAUUAAUGGGAAGCAUCUGUACAACACCGGUUGGAGAAGGAACUAUAGGUUAAUUCUCUAAGGCGAGGAAAAAAAACAAGUGACCGGAACUCCCUUUUUGUAUGAGGAACCUGAGCCUAGUGAUCUGAACUCCAAGAAACACUUUUCUUUGUAAGUAAAAUCAGUUACUAUUUUUGGUUAGCUUAAAACCAAACCUUUUUCAUUCAAACAUCUUUAUGUUUUCUUAAGCUAACCUUGAAAUGAAAAGGCACCAAUUCAGCUUUGAAUUAAUAUCAUUUGUGAAGUGAAAACCCAUCCCAGUGGACGAUCCUAGAGCCACUAUGCUAUAGUAGCUUUGUCUUUGCUACCCUAGUAUAUGGUGUAAUAGGUUAUAAAUUUUGUUGAUUACUCCCUCAAUCAAGGAGCACCAGCUGGACACGAAUCAGCUGAGACACCAAUUGGGCACGAAUCAACUAACUCUUUCUUGAUUUUCUUCUCUCAUCCACCAUAUCCGCUCCAAUAUUGCCAUUUUUUCCAUCACCCAUCACCCUAAGAGCUUAGUUUGGAUAUAAUCUUAGGGUUAUCUCAAAGUUUCUUUUUUAUUCAACAAGUUUAUUCAUGAGUUAACCAAAUAUUGGACUCGGGUAUUAGUUCGGUACCGGUCAUGGCCAAGGUGAAUAUGACUUGGCCGAGUCAUACCAGUCUCAAUUGAGAUUUUGAACCUUGUUUGAACUCUCUAUUUCUUUGCACAAUACCCAUUUUUUAAGGCUAACAAAAUACCCUAACAAAGAUACAAGAGGAUUGAGAUGCAAAUAUAGGAAUGAAGAUGAAAAGGGUUUGAAGAGUCUAAACUCUUCAUACUUUUCCACUUUCAUGGGUUUCAAUCUUCUUCUCUCAUCCACCAUUUUUGCUCUGGUAUUACUAUUUUUUUUCCAUCACCCAUCAUCCAAAAAGCUUAGUUUGGACAUAAUCUUGGAGUUAUCUCAAAGUUUCUUUUUUUAUUCAACAAAUUUAUUCAUGAGUCAACCAAAUAUUGGACUAGAGUAUCGAUCCGAUACUGAUAAUGGCUGAGGCGGAUAUGACACGAUCAAGUCGUACGAGUCUUAACCGAGAUUAUGAACCCUGUUUGAGUUCUCUAUUUCUAUACACAAUACCCAUAUUUGAAGGCUCACAAAAUAGUCCUACGAAGAUACAAGAUGAUGGAGAUGCAAACACAUGGAUGAAAAUCCAAAGCGUUUGAAGGCUCUGAACUCUCCAUAUUUCUUCGCUUUCAUGGGUUUCGAUCUUUUUCUCUCAUCCACCAUUUUCGCUCCAAUAUUACCAUUUUUUCCAUUACCCAUCACGCAAAGAGCUUAGUUUGGACAUAAUAUUAUGGUUAUCUCAAAUUUUCUUCAUGAUNNNNNNNNNNNNNNNNNNNNNNNNNNNNNNNNNNNNNNNNNNNNNNNNNNNNNNNNNNNNNNNNNNNNNNNNNNNNNNNNNNNNNNNNNNNNNNNNNNNNAAGAGCUUAGUUUGGACAUAAUAUUAUGGUUAUCUCAAAUUUUCUUCAUGAUUCAACAAAUUUAUUCACAAGUCAACCAAAUAUUGGACUUGGGUAUCAGUCCGAUACUAGUCAUGGUGGAGGCAGAUAUGACUCGGUUGAGUCGUACCAAUCUCGACUAAGAUUGUGAACCCUGUUUGAACUCUCUAUUUCUUUGUACAAUAUCCAUUUUGAAGGCUCACAAAAUAGCCCUACCAAGAUACAAGACGAUGGGGAUGCAAAUAUUACUCCUUGAAUUACUGGCAAUAAUUAGUUUAUUUUUUUAAUUUUGAACUAUUUUUUAAAAUUAAAUAUUUGUUAAUGAAACAAAAGCACUAACUCUUUCUUGAUUUGGAGUUUAUUUGUUGAAUGAAAAUUUUUGGAUAAUUAUGGUUUUGCGCAUAAGAGAAAUAAUGAACCAAUUGUUGUUCAUAAAUUCAUAAAAUUGGAUUAGCAUUUGAGUUUCAAAUUAUUUUUAAAAGUGCUUACAUUCAUUAAUGAAUCUAAUACACUAAGUUCCUCUUUGGGAUGAAUUUUGAAUGAGGCUAAAAGCUUUUCCUAACACUAGAAAGCAAUCUUAAAAAAAUGGUUGAAAAUCACUUUUAAAAAUCUAAAUAAUGACAUGAUUCUUCGAACUAUCACAUUUUUGUUAUAUUAUACAUUGCCAAAACAUUCUCUGAACAUAUUUUAAAAAAAAUUUAUAAUAUGCAUUUCCUACAAAGCAAUCUUAAAAAUAUAUAUAUAUAUAUAUCAUCAAUAAUUAGAUUAUGGUGUGAUAGUGAUUUUAGCAAUUGUUUUUAGCCUUUUUAAUACUUUAAAAAUAACAGCAGUGAAUUUAGGAAACGUUUCUAGCUUUUUUAACGCUUGAAUGAUAUAAAUUUUCAAGUAUUAGAAAAGUUAAAAAUGUUUCCUAAAAUCACUACUAAACAGGCUUUAAUCAGUAGUAGUAAUUAAUUGGUAUUGAAUAACUGUAAUGCAGUUUCCUGAAUGUAGUAUUGAGGGAGAGAGAAACAGAGAGGAAGAGAGAGAUGCUUAACAAACAAAUUGCUUUAUUGUAGUAAUAUGCCCAAAGUUCACACCAGAAGAGUUACAACUAGACCCUCUUAUCAUACUAGGAUUGUUAUAACGAGGGAAUUGAACAUCAUAAAUAGUCAUUCAAGCAAGGAAAUGAAAGGUUGAUAGCUUCUUCUUUUUCUAUAUUCCCCCACUAGAAUCGUGCUUGAAGGUAUUCAACCACCUUCUUGUCCAACUGGAAGGCCCUUGCAAGGAAAUCAGGAUUGAUGGGUGGAUUUGAUCCAAACA